AUUUUUCUUUUGCUUGCGGUUUCCUUAUUUCUGUCCGAUCAUAAGAGAAACAAUGUAGUAUGUAGUAAUCAUUGUCGUACUAUUUUAAGAAAGGGUCCUUAAUCUCCUUUGAUUCGUGAAUGCAUCUGGUUAUUUUAUGCAUUUGAUUAGUGAUUGGUUCGGGCUACUUUAUGUAUUUGUUUAGGGAUUGGUUCUAGCAAUUUCAUGCAUUUGAUUGGUGAUUGGUUCUGGCUACUUUAUGUAUUUGAUCAGUGGUCCAAGUAGUACAAUUUAAGAGAUUCAUAUCUCAUAUUUCAUGCAUUUGAUUGGUGAUUGGUUUUGUCUACUUUAUGUAUUUGAUCGGUGGUCCAAGUAGUCAUUACAAUUUAAGAGAUUCAUAUCUCACCAAACCCACAAGUUGUUGUGGCCACCAAAGGGGAAAAAGAGCAAAUAUGGAGACGUAAAGAUUAUUAUAAACUUCAUAUUUGCUCAUCUUGUUAAAUGGUAAAUGAGCAGCACAAUAAUAUGCAAAACUAUUGAACAAACAUUAUCAACUUCAUCUUUUAAGGUUUAGACCUAGAUAAGGAAAACUUUAUCCCAUUAAGCGAUCAUGCAUGCAUUUUGAGACGUAAAGAUUAGUUAGCACUAAUUAAAAUGAAUGUUUGGUGCAAUAAAUCUAAUUAAUUUAACUCUUAAGAAUUGAUUAAAUAAUUAGCAGUGUUGGAACCAACAUCUUAAUUAAGAGGGUUUAAAAUCGAAAAAUGUGAACGAAAGAAUUUGUCAAAGGGGGUUCAACAUCUGUUGUAUAUACAUGAAAAAUAAUUUUAAGCUUGUAUAAAUAGUAUAAUUUUCCGUUGAAGGGGGAUCGGAUGAACUCUCACACUAUUAGCUAGCUCCAACCCUGAUUAGAGGCAACAGUAAAGGAAAACUACAACUUUAUUAAAAAAAAAAAUUUAGGGGUUGAGGUGGGGGGGAUUAACGACUCUGUCCGAUGAAUGUUAGAUUUGUUAUAUGUUUUUAGAAAAUCAUGUUUAUACAAUUCAAUGGAUAAUUCUUUUAAAAAUUUAUAAGUGAAAAGUGUAGUAAUUUUGAAUCAUGUAACAGGACAGGACAGGUUCAAUAGGUGCAACUAUGCUACUUAUAAAUAAUUUUAUUUGAUGAAUACCAUUAACUACUAAGUAUCUCAACCGCUUAUUUUUUAGUCUUACACCAUAAAUAUAGAUAAUGGUGGAGUAUUAGUUAUGCUAAAAAAGACACGUUUAUUACAUUUAACUUUUGUAUAACUUUAGCAAUAUACCAUAAUUAUCAUUCGAUAACAACCUUUUGAUGUGUACAAUAAAAGGAGAAAAGUAUAAUUACUAAAGCAUAUAAGGAAAAACUUCUGAACCUAGAGUAUUUGCAAUUACAAUCGACAUUGUUCAUAUUCACAUGUAAACUAUAUGUAAAAUAUAUUUCGUGACUAAAUUUGGGACAAGUUCAAGACAUAUCGACAUUGCUCAUAUUCACAUGUAAACUAUAUGUAAAAUAAUAUAUUUUGUGACUAAAUUUGGGACAAGUUCAAACGAUGUCUAUCCAAUUUACGUUCAGUUAUUAAGUCAGUCGAAUAAGUUCACUGCUCAUCAAUUUAGCAUAACUCAUCACAGACAUAUUUUAAUAAUAUUUGUAUCAUCCUAAAACAUUUAUAGUUAUUAGAACGCGAUACACAUGCAACUCACAUCUCAUAAACUAAUAUAAUCAAUACACAUGUAAAGGGUUCUAAAGACACAAAAUAUAUAAUUAGGAGGAACAAUAACUUAUCGGAGUAUUGACUAAAGAAUAUAAAUAAUAUAACAGAAAGAUUUAAAUUUUUCAAUAAAAUGUUUUAGGCGCCUUUCUGCCUCACCCCGAAGUAGAGAUACUAAUUACAUCCACUUUGUAGUUAUAUUGAAUAUGUUGUUGAAAUAAAAUAUUUUAGGUAAAAAAUGAAAUCAGGCACUACUAUUUAGAAAUUACUUAGGCAGAUUAUAUAAUAGGUAUUAGGUAGUGAGUAUAAAUUUACUUAGCACAUCAUUAUCAUUCUAUUUAAAGGAAGAUUCUUUUCUUUGAUUAGUCAUUGGUUGUUGCUAAAUAUUGGCCUUUUGAUUAGUUGUCCAAUAUACAAAAUUAGAGGGAUUCACGUUUUACCAACCCGUGGGUCCCAUACAUAUGUGUGUCCACGUAAGAAAAUAAAUAACAAAAUGUAAAUACCAAGAAAAUAUCUCUUUCUAAAAAAGAAGAAAAAAUAUUGAAGAAUUCCACGUGGCAGUCGUAUGUAGUGUGACACACUGCUGACUCCGCAAACUUUAUCGCUAUAUAGUGACAGCUGUAUCCCACUUUUUAUUUACAAAAUUAAAUUCCACUCUCACUAACCGCGCGUAAAGCACACGAAGGGUUAUUAUUACAUUUAUUAUCCGCGAGUGCUUCACCUGCAUUCUCUCUUUUGGAAAUCCAAACUCCGUAGAAUCUGAAACCUGAAUCACGUGUUUCAAGGGAUCACGUUCUUAAAUUUUUACUCACUCACAUGGCACGGAGUUUAACAAACUAAAUAAAAUAUUUGAUUCUUUUGGUCCUAAAUUAAUUGUGUUAAAUAUACCAUAAUAUUCUUUAAUUUUGUGAUCUUAAGCAUAUUACUCGUAAGGUUAAAAUUAAAAUAUUAUUAAAAAAAAAGUCUUUUAUUUUGAAACGGACUAAUAAAAAAUUGAAAUAAAAGUAUUUUUUUAAAAAAAAAAGAAAAUGCAUUACUCCCUUCAUUCCAUUUUAUGCGACAUAAUUUAACCGGACACAAUUUAAGAAAUAAGGAAAUAAGCAAAGACUUAAUAACGGUUUUCAAAUUAUGGUUUAUUAAAAAAGAUACGUUUUAAUUAAAUGAAAACUUAUAAAUAGGAUCAAUAAAAAAAUAAAAAAUUAUAUCUUUAAAUACUUAACAAAUAAAAAAAUAUGACAUUCGACGAAAACAGAAAAAAUUAACGAUAAAUGAAAUGGAGGAUUUCUAUUUAUACAAGGAAAAGGAAAACUAAAAUUACCUAUAAAUCAAACCUUGACUUUGACCAACCAAAAAAAAUAAAUAGUGGUAUCUCUUCUAUAAAUACCAUGCAAGCUUUCGAAACGCUACACAUAUCCUUUAGAAUUUGUAGAGAAGCAAAAAGUCAUUGUUAAUUUUAUGGCAAACAAAGUUGUAACUCCAAAGGUUUUUCGUAACCUCCGAUGUUUCGCUCGGUGUCUAAACACGGCUCCGACUGUCCCACCGAUGAAUUUCACCGGCAACUAUGAUGCUACGAACGUAACAACAACACCUACCUUACAACCCACCGACCAAAUAUUAGUCGGUCCUAAGGAAAAAGUGAUCAAUUUUGACGAUGUUAGGGAGUUGUUCAUGGGCGUAUCCACUUCAAAGUUGAUUAAAUCAACAUUGACACUUCAAAUGGCGUCCAUCGAACCUAUGGUUGACUUAGGUGUGUGGGUAAUGAAUUCAAAACUCAUGCACAUGCCUAUAUUCAGGGAGGUAAUUUUGGGGUUUGUUAAAAGUACAUUUUAUGAACAUUUUUGUGCUGGAAAAGACUUGACAGAAGUAAGUAAGACGGUUAGUAAGUUGUCGAGUGUUGGCUUAAAAUGCAUGCUUGAUUAUGGGGUCGAACAUGCCACGGAGAAUGAGUAUUGUGAUCAGAGUAUGAAGGUUUUUCUUCAGACAGUCGAAUCAACCGAGUCACUUCCAUCCUCAUCUGUAAGACCAAAUUCCUACAAAUCUUAUUAUUAUUAUUAUUAUUAUUAUUAUUUAUUUUCAAGUCGGACUGAUUCUACUAGAAAAUCUUAAAGUUGAAUGAGUUUUGGAAAAGGCUAAAAAAGAAAAACACUACUAAGAGGAGAAUUCAACAAAUUGGAAAGCUUACCACAAAGCUGGAUUAGUCAUCGCUGACGCUACUGAACGUGUCCAUUACGUGGAAUUCAAAUAAAAUACACAUGUUAUUCGCUUAUUUAGCUUUUUCUAGAAGUUCCGUAUAUAUAUUUCCUCUUAGAUAUAACCUGUUUCCUAAGACGAUUAAAUUCAUUUAUAUUGUAUUGUUUAACUAAAAGGUCAAUGGUGAAAUUAGCUGAAGCAAAAGUCUAAUAACAAAAGCUACAGGAAUAAAAUAAAUUCAACACAUAACAGAGCCUAAAUCUCUGAAGUUCAUAACAUUUUCUAGACCAUUGCUUGCUGAUCACAAUUUUUGAUGUGUUUAAUAGAUAACAGAGACACCUGAUUCCUAACAGAAUUAAAUUAUUUUUAAUGAUCUAUUUCUGCGUAACAAUUAUUUAAUUUUCUCUAUGAAAUAGAAACUGAGCUAUAAAAUGUGUGUAAAUUGUGUUGGAACAGGUUAGUUUUGUGGUAGUUAAGAUAACUGCAAUCUGUACACCAAAACUUCUCAAAAGAAUGAGUGAUUUACUGAGAUGGGAGCAAAAAAAUCCUUCAUUCAAUCUCCCAUGGAAGCAAAAGACGCUUCCAGUUUUUGCGGAAUCGAGCCCUCUUUAUCACACUUCAGAAAAACCAGAGCCUUUAACGGUUGAAGAAGAGCGUGAUCUCCAAUUAGCUCAUGAUAGACUCAUGACAAUUUGCAAGAGAUGCUUGGAACUCGACGUUGAAUUACUAAUUGAUGCAGAGGACACAGCUAUUCAACCCGCAAUCGAUUACUUUGUGUAUUCAGCAGCGAUUAAGUACCACAAAGACGAUCACCCUUUGAUAUUCGGAACAAUUCAGGCUUACUUGAAGGACGCGAAAGAAAGAAUGGUGAUCGCAAAAAAGUCUGCAGAGAAAAUGGGAGUUCCAAUGGGAUUUAAACUUGUUAGAGGUGCUUAUAUGUCAAGUGAAAAUGAGGUAGCUUCUAAAUUUGGUGUUCAAUCUCCGAUCCAUGAUGGGAUUCAGCAGACACAUGAUUGCUUCAAUUCAUGUGCUGAAUUUAUGCUUGGCGAGAUCGCUAAUGGCUCUGGUGCAGUUGUUCUUGCAACUCAUAACAUCGAGUCAGGUAAAUUUUAUGCCAUACAUAGUUCCUUUUUAUGGUCAGCCACGUGAAAAUUCUUUUAUCUUCGACCUUGCUUAACUAGUAAGUAUUAUAUGUUUUGAUAAAUAGGAAAACUUGCUGCAUCCAAGGCUAAUGAGUUAGGUAUCAGAAAGGAUAGUGAAAAGCUUCAAUUUGCUCAGCUAUAUGGUAUGGCAGAAGGACUUUCAUUUGGUCUGAGAAAUGCAGGAUUUCAAGUGAGCAAGUAUUUACCAUUUGGUCCUGUAGGGCAAGUUAUGCCAUACCUUAUAAGAAGAGCUGAAGAAAACAGAGGUCUCUUAGCUACAUCUGCCUUCGACAGGCAACUCAUGAGGUAAUUCAACAUCAUUAACAAUUCCGAAAACAAUCGACAGAGAUGUUUGUACUCAAAUAUGUUUAUUAAUUUUUUGUAUAUAAUUGUUUGCAGGAAGGAGUUAACCAGGAGAUUGAAAGCGGCAACUACGUGAAUCCAUGAGUUACAGUCUUGAGAAUUAAUGGAAGCUUAUAUGCAUAUAACUAGUACUCAUACGAAUAAAUCGCGGAGCCAUGGAGCUUGUAACAGAGCAAUUGAUGCUCCGUUAUUACUGUAAAUAAUUCAAUGACGUGGCUGAUACGUAGAUUUUUAAGAUCGAGACCUUAUCAGAGAUGUGCCUAUAAAUAUCUGUCAAAUUUUUUCGGCUCCGUAAUAACGAGAGAAGUGAAGGAGGCAAGCAAUGAAAUUCAAAGAUGGCCUUAUUUACAACAAAAAAAUAGAAGUGGAGGUCAAAGAGCUACCAAUUGUUAUAUGUCCAUUUGUGGUAGUGAUUUUCUUCAUCUUUCUUGUACUACUAGUAAUCUAGUAGUAUGGAAGUUUAUUCAAAGUUUAGUGUGAACAUUUGUGAUUGGUAUUCCAACAAAUGAAGGUUGGCUAAAUGAUGAAAACUGUACCAUCCAUUGGGUGUUUGGAUAGGGCUUGAUUUACGGCUCUAUAGACUAAUAUUGCUUAAAGUCCCAAAAGACAUUCAAUAUUUUUUGGUUGUGUUUUUUUGCUUUUGACUACUCUCACUAUAACGAUCUUGGCUGUCACAAUAAUUGAAACCCAACCAACUAUAAGUGAACCGAUUAUUAGGUGAGGUUAGUUGAAUGUUUAUAACCUACCACCUGAGCUAGUAUUUUUUGUUUUAAAAUGGUUUCUACUUUUGACACUAAAAUAAAUCAGUAAAAUAAAAUUUACAUAUAAUAUUUCGGCUUAUGGUUCUGUUAUCUUUUAGUAUCUUUUGUAAAAUAAAAAGAUCUAUCAUAAUUUUCGGUACAGUUAUAAUUAGUAUAUAUAGAAAUCUAGGGUCUUACUUACAAUAACCUAAUAUUAGGUUCCCUCGGAAGGUUAGGUUAUACUCUUUCUUUUCAUAUGUUUUUUUUAAGAGUAGAACAAUAUAAAUUUUGGUUAAUAUUUUAGUAUAUAUUUCUUAAUAGAAUAAAAAAAAAGAAAAAUUAUAAUUAUAGUACUUUUCGUAUAGUUUUUGAAUGUCCAGAUUUUAAUUUUAAAGAAAUUAAAUUAAUCUGUUCUAAUUUAACUUUGAAACUUAGCUUAAUUGACUCACGAAAAAUAAAGAAAGCAUAUAAAGAAAAAAUGAAUGAAACAGUCAGGUAGGUAAUGGGAUAGGACAUGCUACACAUGUAGUUUAACAAAAAUAUGAAAACAUAAUUCUAGACCGAGAGAUAAAAAGAUGGAUAAUUAAUACGCAUUCAAGCGUUAUCAAGUUACUUUAUCCCUAUUGCUAUUACUAGUCUUUUCAAUCUUAUUUAUCAAUUUUAAUAUUACAUGUUAUUGUCUUCACUUUGAUUAUCAUAUAAUUUUGACAUGCUUUAUUAAAGAUGAGAGUCUAUAAAAAAAAUAUUACAUAUGGACUCCAAGCAGCCUCUCCACCAAACUAAGUUCUCUUCUAGGGUGUUGAUUGUCAACAUUUCUAGCGACUUCUUUCAUGGGGUUCACAAAUCAAAGUUGCCUAAAACAAUAAAAUUUCUAAUAGGUCAGUAAUUGUACCCACGUGAUAUGUCAUUUGAUAGUUUUACUACUUGCCAAGAAUCUUGGCCCAACAUUAUGAUAACAAGAUUCCUCAACCGGUGCACGCCAUAUGAAAAGUACUUUCCACCGAAUCUUUUGAUUUUGAAGGCGGAGAUUCAGAUUCCUUGACCCCCAUAAUUCUUUAUCCUUUUCUAGUGCACCGCAAUUAUUGAAAAAUAAAUAAAAAACUAAAUUCAUUUCUUGACUAGUAAAAGUGGGCAAUAAAAUUCCAUCUAGAGGACCUAAUUAGAAUAAUAAUCAAAGUGGGGGUAUUAUUUUUCAAACAAGUGGGCUUAAGUAAUUGGAAAAUUAAUUCAAAUGGCAUGCAAACGCGCCGCAAAGCGAAAGCAAGUUGUAGACCGAAGUGUCCAAGAAAGUAGGACAUAUUGGGAGAGGAUUUCAAAACUAUAAUUUAAUACAAUUUUGAGGUACAAAAAAGAUGGAAUCCAAGACAAGUGGAACAACAAAUAACAGCUAAGAGAUAGAAAUUUAACCGUAGAUGUGGAAUACACAUGGUGGUACUGACCAUCUACAGUGAUACAUCGUCAGUAACAGCACAGCAUCUACUCAGCAUGAUUUAAAUAUUUUUCUUAAACUGCCUUAAAUUUUAAGUAUAUAUCACUUUUUAACCCAAUAAAUCAACUCUCACCCUUCUAUAAAUACCAUGCAACUCUGGGAAACUUUGCACAUUCAUUUCAUACAGAGAGAGAGAGAGAAAAAAAAAAAAUAUUUCAACACACAAAAAAAAAAAUUUGACAUAAAAAAAAAGUUACCAUUCCGCCGCCCACCGUUGCAUGGCAAAUAAGGUUUUCGGUCCGAAACUAUUCAAGAACCUCGGAUUCCAUGUCCGCCGUUUAAACUCGGCUCCGUCACCAUUUUCCGCCGUUCCUCCGUUAAAUUUCACUGGCGAUUUUAACGCCGUUCCAAAUUUGGUGGAACCCACACCACAGAUUAACAACACAACCACCCACCACCCCCAUAUUAACAACAACAUUAUUAAUUUCAACGAUGUUAAGGAGCUGUUCUACGGCGUUCCUACAACAAAGUUGAUUAGAUCAUCGUUAACGUUACAAAUGGCGGCCAUUGAGCCAAUGGUUGAUUUGGGUAUGUGGGUAAUGAAUUCUAAACUUAUGGAAAUGCCUGUUUUCAGGGAUGUUAUGCUUGGUUUUGUUAAGAAUACGUUUUAUGAACACUUUUGUGCUGGUAAAGACUUAACGGAAGUCCGACGGACCGUUAUGAAUCUCUCUGAUUCUGGGUUAAAAGCUAUGCUUGAUUACGGGGUCGAACAUGCCACGGAAAAUGAAUCUUGUGAACAGAGCACAACAGCGUUUAUUCAAACGAUUGAAUCAACGAAAUCACUUCCUCAGUCUUCUGUAAGAAUCCAAACUCCUAAUUAUUUGAUUAUUUAAUUUUUGUUAAUAUUAUUCUAUUCCUGAAAAAGGAAUGAUCUUGCUCUGUUUAUAUUUUUUUAAUUCUUUUUCAAAGAUUCUAUUUUAUACUAUCAAAUUCUUUCAAUAUUCUUGGAUCUAACUUUAUGUUUCAAAGAUUCUAUUUUAUAUGUUUAAGUAAUUUGUCUAACUUUAUGUUUGUUUUUUUGUUGAAACAGGCAAGCUUUGUGGUUGCGAAGAUAACAGCAAUUUGUACACCAAGGCUACUCAAAAGAAUGAGUGAUUUGCUACGAUGGGAACAAAAAGAUCCUUCAUUGAAUCUCCCAUGGAAGCGAAGAACGCUUCCACUUUUCGCUGAAUCGAGCCCUGUUUAUCACACUUCGGAAAAACCAGAGCCUCUAACGGUAGAGGAAGAGCGCGAUCUCGAAUUAGCUCAUGAAAGGCUAAAGAAAAUUUGCGAGAAGUGUUUGGAACAUGAUGUUCCUUUACUAAUUGAUGCAGAAGACUCAACGAUUCAACCCGCGAUCGAUUACUUUGCGUAUUCAGCAGCGAUUAAGUACCACAAAGACGACCAGCCUUUGAUAUUCGGAACAAUUCAAGCUUACUUGAAGGACGCGAAGGAGCGUAUGGUUAUGGCGAAAAAGGCUGCUGAGAAAAUGGGAGUUCCAAUGGGAUUUAAGCUUGUAAGGGGUGCUUAUAUGUGUAGUGAAAAGGCGUUGGCUUCUAGUUUAGGUUUCAACUCUCCGAUUCACGACAGCAUUGAGCAAACUCAUGCUUGCUUCAAUUCGUGCGCGGAGUUUAUGAUUGAAGAGAUUGCUAAUGGCUCUGGUGCAGUUGUUCUUGCUACUCAUAACAUUGAGUCAGGUAACAAUCUAAAAAAGAUUUAGUCUUUUAUUGUUUACGAUGAUGAAAUAUUGAUGUUUAACAUGUAUAAUGUGUUUGCGUCGUAAACAGGAAAACUUGCCGCAACGAAAGCUAUCGAUUUGGGAAUAAAAAUUGAGAGGCAAAGUCUCCAGUUUGCUCAGCUCUAUGGUAUGGCUGAUGGACUUUCAUUCGGGCUGCGAAAUGCAGGAUUUCAAGUGAGCAAGUAUUUGCCAUUUGGUCCUGUUGAGCAGAUCAUGCACUACCUUAUGAGGCGUGCCGAAGAAAACAGAGGCAUGUUGUCUACCUCGGCUUUCGACAGGCAACUCAUGAGGUAACAACAAAAGCAACAACAUAUCCAGUGAAGUCCUACAUGCGAGCGUUAUCUAAUUCGAUUUUUGUUAUGUUUUUGCAGGAAGGAAUUGAGCAGAAGACUUGAAGUGGCAACUUCUUGAAAUGCAUAUUGGGAAUGGAAGUGUAUGUUAGUUAGUAGAACAAUAAGCGCUGAAACAUCGCCAAUUAUUGUAAAUAAUUCAAUGAUGCGCGGGCAAACAAUGAUGAUGAUGAUGUUGAUCAAGCAACUGUGAUGGGGAAAAUGCACAAGGAACGAGUCAAUCAGGAUAUUGUUGAUUUAUCUCCUUGUGUAAAUGAAAAAAUAAAAAAUGUACAUAAGUAUUUUUAGGUUCACUUAUUGUUAUCUUUCUCCAUGUGCUAUUUUUAGGUCCUAUUAUGUUGUAGUAGCACCUUAAAAGUUGGUUGUAUUUGGUAUCGGGUCAGAAAUAGAAAUGGAAGAAAGGUACCUAGAGUGGUGCCCUAAUGUUGAAAUUACAAAGUGUGUAUCUAUUUCUCUCUCUCUCGAGACAUUAUUGUUCAAUAAAAUCUAAUUUAGUCCUCUUCAUUAAGGUUUAAAGCCUCCUUAAUUAUUAAAUUAAACUUGCAAAAGGCCAGACUUCUAACAAGCCUACUAGCCACGAAAAUUAUUCUUUUUUUUUUUCUUUCAAAAUAAUUUAUUCACUCUAUUUAAAAAUCAGUGCUUCAAAAUAAAAUGCUAGUAUAUUCUUUGCUUAAAAAUUACUCUAACUUAAUACAAUUUCAUUUCAAUUUCAACCUCAUUAAUUUCAGAUAGCCGCAAAGUACGUGAAGGAUAAGUUGUAAAGCCAAAUCCACUAACCUCAACAUCAAUAGAAUGGAAGAAACAAGAGAGUUGGGGUUCCAUCAUUAAAAAGCAAUUUUAUGUACAAAAAAGGGUAAGGAAAGUAGGCAAUUGAAGGUCCUACCAUCUAAAACAUGAACAUCAAUAGUGAAAAGGACAUGCUGAUAAUGAACUUCUCCAUGAACUUCUCCACUAAAACAUUAUCUUUAAUAUAAAAUAUUCGGAUUCAUAGUAUGAGUUCUCAGAACAAAAAAGAAGUCACUUGAUUUUAAGGGCUGUGCAUCAUCAGUAAGAUAUAUUGACCAAACACAACAACUAUUAUCAUCCGUUAGUUUUUAAUUGGUAGCGGUCCCAUAUAUAUGAAUCCUCAAUAAUCAUGCAUAUAUUAGGACUAAAUUUAGACAUGUUUCAAUCCAAGACUUUUCUCAAUCCUGCCCGAGACUUCAAGAUUUAGUAGUCGUUUUGCUAUAAAAAUUAUUUACUUUUUUUUUUUUGAAAAUUUAUUUUAUUUUAUUUUAGCAAAAAAAAACUGAAAAUGACAUGUGUUUGGCUAUGAGAAUUUUAAAUACAAUUUGAAAAAAAUAAAAUAAAACAAGUAAAACUUAUUUUCACUAUUUUUACUCUUACUUCUCUCACAAAAUUUGAAAACCAGCUCAAAUUUAUAUUUAUGACCAAACACAGCUCUAAUUCCAAUUUCAACUUCGAAAAAUUAGGAUUUUUAUGAUCAAAUGGGGCCUUAAGUUCUGUAGAAAUAGACUGAAAAUCAAAUUCAAAGAAAAGAAAAUUAAUGAAAAUGUCAUAGUAAGACUUCUUCGGGACAUAUACUAAUACAAAACCGUAGUGUGGAAUUGAACCAUUGUACUCUAGCUAAAUAACUCAAUAUUCUAUUAAAUGCAUUAUUUAAAUGUCCUAUCUCGCCUAAAAUAUUUAAUUUUGUAAUAAGACCACAAAUUCACAUAUCCAUGUUAAGGAAAAUAAAAGGACUGCCACUUAAAUAAUGGACCGUAGAUAAAUUGAAAUUAAUUGGACCUGUAAACUUUUAUUUCGGAACGAUGUUGAAAACAACUUGCACUGACCAUGCAUAUAUAACUACAGUAUUAAUGAUUGAGCAAAGAUCUUUACGUACCACGUCGUAUACUUUAUAGUUAAUAUCCCUACCUAACAGUCAAGUUGUUAGUUGUCAGAUGCAUAUAUAUUUAAUUUUGCCUACAAACAUCGGCAGCAGUUGCAGUCCACAGUCAAAUACUGUCUCUAUCAGUAACAAUUAAUAAUCAAAGUUUUUAUCCUAUAAUCAUGAUAAUAUUUUAGUAAGAAAUGUAUUAAACAAAACUAUGUCGGCUGCAUAUAUAAUUCACACCUACCCUCUAAGGGCGGAUCUGUCAUUUUAUUAUUAAUUUAACGAGUGCAUAAUUCACACCCACUCUCUAAAGGCGGAUCUAUCAUUUUAAUUGAUCGAAAUCGAAUUUUAUGAUUUUAACACUCAUGAAUCAUGAUAAUCUCAUUGUAUUUUUUAAAAAUGAUAGAAUAUUAAAAUUCACAUAAAAUAUAUAUUCCACGCUUUGAAUAUUGACAUCGGAAUAAUUAACCUAAUGUCAACACAAUAGAUUCACUUGGGAGAACUGAUUUUUUUUCGCCCUUCACAAACUUGAUCUUAAUUUUAUGUUUUUUUUUUAAUGUUCGAGAUUUUCAACUUUAUACAUAAGAGAUUUGGAAAGAACAUUUUCUUAUAGUAGUAUUCAAAUUAGAAGUGGGUAAAAGAUCUCAUUUCCUCGAUCCACCCCUUGUGGCCGCCUCGGAUAUUUCGGGAAAAGUGCAUGAUCAAGGACCAAAAUAUAAAACUGGAAACCCAAAGUUAACUGCGGUAGUUGAAUUAUAAGUUGCAAGUUAAUUACAACGACAGUAGUAUUUAGAGAGUACUACGUAGCUCCAGCUCAUUUAUUAUUGUCCACGUCCCAGCAGCCAACAUUCACCUAACCCACAGUACUCCAGUAGAAAACGAGAAAAAGAAAACAAGAUUUAUCAUGUCCAAACAACAAAUCUCUCCCUCUUUCUUAAGAGACGUAACAUUAUAUUUUACGGAGUCAAUUAACUAGAUGCUUCAGCCAUAAAAUCUUUUCACAAUUAAAGUAAUCCCCAACAAUUUCAUAAAUACCCUAGUUGGUAUAUCAUACAGAAUUUAUAUAAAACUUCAUUUGUAACAAGGUAUGUGUCAAGCAAAGUUCUUAUUUUUAUGUUAGUGUUUUUGGAUGAAUGAAGCAAACUUAAGGGGAGUUAUGAGUUGUGUGUUAUGCAACUACUCCGUAGAUAAGAACAAAUAGUUACAACAACUAAAGCAAAGACAUAAUUAAUUUGUUCCCAAACUAUUUAGGGCAAAGCAUCUAUGCAUCGAGAAACAUGUUGUUAGAUAAAACAGAUGAGUCAUGAACAGCUAGGUAGCACAUUUUGCUGAUGGAUGAGUCACAAUUCAUAAUCACAUAGUAUUACCAACACAAUUCGAACACCACAGCAUGCAUGGAAAAAUGUUUGGCAGUUGAUGACUCAUUAUUGUCUUAUAUACUGGAUAGACUCAUAACUGAUUAAUGUUUUUUUUGUUUGUUUUAAAUUGCUGAAGCCAAAAUGUGGAACAGGUUUGAUCUUAGCCGUUAAAUUUUAGGAAAGGUCACAUUACAAUACUAAAAAUCUUAUCAUAUCUAUAUAAUAUCAUACUAACACUAAUAAUCUUAUCAUAUUUAAGUGAUAUCAUACUAUCUUUUAUUUAAUGUAUCCCAUCCAUAUCUUUUAUGUUUGUUUUUUUUUUAUUUUCCAUCCAAUGUCCGGUACCCACAUUGGAAUCCGAUUAAUCUGAAUUCAUGCCGGGUAGGACCCCAUUUGGAGGAAAGCACUUUGCAAUACCCCGUAUUUUUUCUAAUCAAAUUCGUCCCUAGAACAUCAAAGAUAUGCUUCACAGAUGAUUAACUUUUAUUCCACGUAGUAUUUUUGAGAUUUUGACUUUUUGUCACGUGAAAAAUUGAAUAAACUUUCCAUAGAUACCAAAUUCGCCUAAAUCCGAUACUCGGUUGAGAAGUUAUGACGUUUUUAGUUUUGACAGUGUUUGGCUUAUCAUUUCAGAUAGCCACCGCGAUUCCACCACGCCGCGGUGGAAAUUACGAUGGAAGAUUCAUCGCGUCGCGAUGAAUGCCAAUUUGGCAAUUGUCCAAUUUUAGUAGCUCACCGUGUCGCGGUGAGGCUUUAAUCCGCAUUUUAGUUACGAGAUUUUAAAUUCCAAGGGCAUCUUAGACAUUUCUCAUGAACCAGGUCAGCCCUAAACACGAAAUUUAUCCCUAUAUAACCUACAUAUCUCAUUAUUCACUCAUGUUUCCUCAAAGUUCAUUAUUCUCUCUCAAAAGUAAGAAACCCUAGUUUCAAAAUUCAAGUACAAGACUCAAGAAUUCUUCAAGUACCUUUAAGGAUUUACGUUCUAAGGUAUGUCAAGUGUUCAUUUAUGAGUUUCUUUCACCCAUGAAGCUUAAGAAUUCCCUUUUCAAUUUAAAGAUUGUGUAUUUAUGAAUGUUCAUGAUUUAAUUGAAUUGAAAGCAAUGUUUAUGUUGUUGAUUGGGUUUUGAUUCAUGAUUUUAAAUUGACAAAUUACAAGUAUUGAUCCUAGUAUGUGAUGAUUUACAUGAUGUUCAUGAUAAACCCUUCAAUUGGCAAUUAGUUGGAUGCAAUCAUGGUAAAUAAAAGUAUUGAUGGUUUUGUAAUCAAAGCAUGUUCCUAUGUGUUCAAUAAAAUGCCUAUGUGAAUGUCUUAGUGCCAUUACUUCAUGUUCACAUGUAAUCCCUAUCUAUGUUCAAGUUAAAUGCAUGUUAAGUGUUUGAUGAAAAGCCUUAAUGAAUGAAUUAUGAUACACUAAAAUGCAUUCAUAUUCAUAUUCAAGUUUAUGACUCUCAAAUACAUGAUAAAAUGCCUCAAUAAUUGUAUUAUCGAUUGUUGAUUUUGGUCAUGAGUCAAGAAGUGUCAUGUCUUAUCAGUUUCAUGCUAUUGAGUCCUGAGGGUACUUAUACCCAACAAUUUAGCUGUGUGCCUAGAGCCAGUGUCAGUUUUCAUGAUACUCUCAGCAAGCCAUGAUUAGUAGAAUUCAGUCAGUCUCAUGACUCAGUAAAUCCAGUAUCAGUCCAGUCUCACUCAGUACUCAGUAAUCUCAGUCUUGUUAACAGAUUUCAAUAGUAUUCUGUUAGUCAACGGAAACUCAGUGAACUCAGUUCAGUUUAGUUAAAUAAAACAAUCAGUAACAGUUCAGUUCAGUUAAUCAUAUUUAGUGUCUAUUCAGUUAGGAGUAGGAUUCAGCACCGAGUGAACUCAAUAAUGAGGGCACACAUUGACAGUUAAGGGUGUGAUCCUUAGUAGCAAUCCUUGAGUUCCAGAACUACGUAGCCAGCAUGGGUUGAGAUGUACCCUACGAGUUUAGGGAUAAUACAUCUCAUUUGAGAUUUUAUUACAGGAGGGGUUGACGGAAGAGCUCCCUAUCAGAGAAGGUUUACUCACAGCUUGUCUUUACCCAUGGCACGGUAUUGACACCCUUCCAGAUGGGGUUGCAGGUUGGAUCUCACCAGUUUAUAUUUGGGGCAUGUCGGUUAGAUGAUUACCUCCCACAGUUUCAAUUUCAGAUUCAGUCUUCAGAAUAGAACUCAGUCCAGUUCCUUAGAAAUCAGGACUGUCAGACACAGUCACUCAGCUCAGUACGGAACUCAGCUAGUUUCAUCAGAAUCCAGGACUAUCAGAUACAGUCAUCUACUUUAAUAAAGAACUCAGAUAGUUCUACAGAUUUCAAGGCAUUCAGAUACAAUCAUCCAGCUCAGCAUAACACUUAGAUCAGUAAUUCAUAAUCAGAACGGUCAGAAAUAAUCAUUCAGUCAUCAGUCGACUCAGUUAUUCAGUAUCCCAAUAUUAGUAAACUCAGAUAUCAAUAAAUUCAUGUUAUCAGUAAACCUCAAUAAUUGGAACUCAGUAUUCAAUACUAUCGUGACUUCAGUUACAGUUACGUAUUUAUGCAUGUAUUCUCACGUUCAUGUUAGUUAGUCAGUUAGUAUUGUUCAUGCAUUUGAACCUUUGCAUACAGCCUACCUCACUUACAUACCAGUACAUUCAAUCGUACUGACGCAUUUGCGCUAUGGUGUUUUAUACCAUAAGUUCUGAAGCACGAGCUUUAGAGCAUUAGUAGCAUUCCAGCUUUCAGCAAUCAGAGUUAGCAGUGAGUCCUCAUCAUUCAAGGAUGUUAUUAUUUGAUUAUUUCAUUCUUUCAGUACUUAGCUAUUUCAGUAGAUGGAGUUAGUUGGGGGAUUGUCCCAUCAACUCCUUAUUCAGACAGUUCAGACAGUUAGAGGCUUUUAGACGAGAUGUCAGACUAGAUAUUUUCAGAUAGUUUAUUUUAGUUUUGGGUAUUUCUAUACCUCAUUCAGACAUUAUUUUUAUCAGUUAUGUUACAGUUUUCAGCAGUCAGAGUUAGUAGUGAGUCUUCACUAUUCAAGGAUGUUAUUAUUUGUUUAUUUCAUUCUUUGAGUACUUAGCUAUUUCAGUAGAUGGAGUUAGUUGGGGAUUGUCCCAUCAACUCCUUAUUCAGACAGUUCAGACAGUUAGAGGCUUUCAAACUAGAUCUUUCAAUCAAAAACACCCUAAAUUUUUCUAUAAUUAAAAAAUAAUUAAUUUUGUGACCUUUUAUACAUUUACUCGUAACAUAAUAUAACAUAUGAUACAUAUUAAACAUUUGUUUCUCAACAAUCAAUUUCAAAACUAAUUCUUCCAUUAUAAAUUUUAAUCAAAAUAUAUUGCGGAUCCAAAAUUUAAAGUUAAUUUAUGAAUUUUAGAUUUAUCUAUAUCUAUAUCUAUAGUUUAUAAUUUAUAUCUAUAAUAUAUUAAAAGUGUGAAGACCCUCAUUAAAAGUUCAUGCUUUAGACAAAAUGAACUCGUUAUUCAGACAGCUAGAGGCUUUCAGACUAGAUGUUAGACUAAAUUAGUUGGGGGAUUGUCCUAUCAACUCCUUAUUCAGACAGUUCAAACAGUUAGAGGCUUUCAGACUAGAUGUCAGAGUAGAUGUACAGUUCAGACAGUUAGAGGCUUUAAGACUAGAUGUUAGACUAGAUUAGUUGGGGGAUGGUCCCAUCAACUCCUUAUUCAGACAGUUCAGACAGUUAGAGACUUUCAGACUAGAUGUCAGACUAGAUGUACAGUUCAUACAGUUAGAGGCUUUAAAACUAGAUGUUAGAGGCUUUCAAACUAGAUGUCAGACUAGAUGUUUUCAGACAGUUUAUUUCAGUUUUGGGUAUUUUUAUAUCUUGUUCAGACAUUAUUCUUAUCGGUUAUAUUACAAUUAUGAAUCUUACAGCCUUACAGCUUAUAUUCCGUAUUUAUACAGUAUAUUAUGCAGUGCUCAGGUACAGAUAUCAAUCAUGGUUAGUUUGUGGUCUUUCGGGGUCAUAAGCACCGUGUAACAGUCCGGGUACCAGAUUCGGGGCAUUACACACUCCCACCAGAAUUUUGUCCGUACCUAGGGUCGAACCCUCGACCUUUGGUUAAGGACGGAACAACCCAAUCCGCUGCAUCAGAACCUAUGUUGAUUUUGAUUUUAUUGAUCAUUAUCUUUUAUAUAUCAAAAAAAUAAUAUAUUCAAAAAUUACAUUACGAUACUAAUAAUCUUAUCAUAUCUACAUAAUAUCAUAUCUUUUAUUUAAUUACAUCUCAUUCAUAUAUUUUAUGUACCAGAAAAGUAAUAUAUCCGAAGAAAUUUAUGUAUGAGAUGAGUAUCAUGAAUUAACUUAUGUUUGUUGAAUUUACUAUGAUCAUUAUGUAUCAACAAUGCAUGUAUUCGAAAAAAAGUACUAUAUUCAGUUAGCAAUGUAUCCAGCUAAUAAUGUAUCUACGGAGUAAUUAACUCCAUACUAAUUGAAUUUAUGUUGUUUACAAUGAUAUUUAAAAAAAAACAAAUAUCAAAGUACUAUCAAACUGAAGUUUUCAGUACCAUAUCAAACAGAAGUUUUCACUCCUAUCUAAAUCAUAUGAACUCAAAAACGUUUAUUGAAUUAGACCUUGUACUUAUAUUAAAAAAUUUAUAAAAUAUUUAUAAUAUGUAACUAAUUAUUAUACAUUAACUUCAAAUCAUUGUUAGAUUUGAAAAAUAUUAAAUUCUAAAUUCACUUUUAAAUGGAGUUAAGGUUUAGGUUAACUCCUUUAAUAAUAAAUUAAUAGAGAUCAAAAGUACACACUCUAGACAUCUGAAAGUUGUUGGGCUACUUUACCCUAAAUCUAGCUUGGAGGCCGCUACUCUACCCUAAACCCUGCAUUAUGCCUACAUAAACGGAUAAAUAUCCCUUUAAAAAGGUAUCUCCAAGAUCCCCAAUUUCCCUCAAAAUGAUGGGAUAUUCAUAAAGAUAUCGUCGUAUGUUCGAGAAAUACGCUACUAACGACCCUCGAAUUAUGGAGAAAUCAAGAGAUAGGAAUAAAGAGAGCAACAGAUUUGUACUCAUAUCGUUUAUCAGUAAAAAUUCCCGAAUUAAAUUAUGUUACAAACACACUCUUAAUAACUUAACUAUACGGAUAAAACAUAUACCCAGAGUCAUGCAUACUAUUAUUUCCAAAUCUCCUGUGUAAAUAAAUAAAUAAAUAAUCAUUUAUAUCAUAGUAACACAUACAAUAUUUCCUAACCUAAUCACUGAAGAAUGAAAGAUGAGUAGUAUGAGGCUAAGUGAAUCAAAAUUCUAGUUACUGAGAUAUUUUGUUAUUUUCAAGACAGCUAUUGGAGGCUUGGACCAAAUCAUCUGUUGGGCCUAAUUGGGUUAGAUUGGCUCCUUAACUACCAUAUCAUCAACCGGUACUAAUACUACCGCAUAGGAUUCAAGCAGCAAUAUCGACCACCAACCCAAAUGGAAUUGGGAUAGAGCAGUAGUUGGGCCCUGGCCAAGCAGCCCAAUCAAGUGCCCUCUGCCCUCCGUCCCAAUUUAUAUGUGUUAAUUUGAUUUGACAUGAAGUUUUAAAAAGAACCAAAAGAUUUUGAAAUUUGUAGUUUAAAAUAUGGAUACUAUGUUUAUAUGGUUGUGAAUUAUUUCAUCAAGAAUAAAAAGGAUAAUUUCAAAUUAAAUUGGUAUUAAAUAAAUAAAUGUGUCAUUUUCUUGAAACCGAUUAAGAAAGAAAGCGAGUCAUAUAAAUUGAAGGAUGGGGUAGUUAUUUUUCUUGUUGUACAUAUAGUUAGCAUCAAUGUUUCUGUUAAAUAAUGAUGCCAUGAAAAAAUAUAUGGAUUAAGAGGUCAGAUGAUUGGGGAUGGUAUCACAAUAUAGUUUGAAUAGUGUUGUCUUUUUUAGGUAGAAUAUAGUACUGUCUUUUUUUUUUCUUUUUCUUGCUAAGCAAGUAAUCAUUAACUUGACUCGCAAAGUUGAUUAGCAUGGCACGUUUGGAUGUCUACACUCCAAAAUUGCGGUAAAAAAUGGAAAAGUGAGUUACAUGUUUAUAGAAUUUUCAAACAUUGCUAAAGUUGUCACCAACUCCUUUUCAAUUUUCUUCCACUUGUUCAUUAUUUUUUCUUCCUUAGUCAAUCUAACGUUCAAUAAUAAUUAUUUACUAUUGAUUUGAUACACACAAAAAAUAAAUAAUUAAGUGAUUUUAUUAUAUCGCCAUUUAAAUAUAUUUAAUAUCAUGUUUUAAAAAUUGCAUCAAGUAAUCAAUAAUCUUUAAUGAUAGAGGUAAACUAAGUUAAAAAACAUAAUAAAUUAUUCAUUCAUUUAUCAAUUUGUCCAAACUGUACACAUAUAUUAUUGAAUAUCUAUACAAAUAUUUUGUAUAGUGGAGGGACUACUAACAAAAUAUCACCAUCCUUUUCUUAAAAAAUAUUAUAUUUGUUAAUUAAUAGUUACUUAAAUUUAGUGAUUGUAGUAUUUUAGUAUUCGAUAUUGAUAUUAUUUGUUAUGCUUAAAUUAGUUCUUACAAAUUAUUGAGUUGCUAGAGGCAUUGAUAUGCUAGUUAAUAGUCAGUGGUAUUUUCUAAAAAAGUAUUUUUUUCACUCAUCAAUCAAACACUAGAAAAUAUUUUUCUAAAAAAUAUUUUCUACUCACCAACCAAACACCAUAAAAUAUUUUUCACUCACUAACCAAACAUGAGAAAAUAAGUAAAAACCCAACUUAUUUUCUAGCAUAAAAAAUAUUUUCCAUCGUACCAAACACACCCAUAGUUAGCAUCAAUGUUUCUGUUAAAUAAAAUGAUGCCUUGAAAAGUAUAUGGAUUUAAGAGGUCAGAUGAUUGGGUGUGGUAUCACAAUAUAGUUUGGAAGUAACCUACAAGUGCUUGAAUAAUAUAGUUGACCAAUAACUGUUUUCUUUUUUAAGUAGAUAUACCAUCUGUUUUUUUUUUUUUUUCUUGAUAAGCAAGUAAUCAUUAACUUGACUGGCAAAGUUGAUUAGCAUGUCAAUGUGUAGACUCCAAAAUUACGGUAAACCAUGGAAAUAUGUUUAUAGAAUUUUCAAAACUAGAAUUGUCUAUGCCUUGCUAUACACAUUGCUAAAGUUGUCACUAUCUCCUUUUCAAUUUUCUUACACUUGUUCAUUAUUUUUUUCUCCCUUAGUCAAUCUAGUCCUCUCUCCGUUUAAUAACAGUUAUCUACUAUUGACUUGAUACACAUAAAGAAUAAAUAAUAGAAGUGAUUUUAUUAUAUUGCUCUUUGACUACAUUUCAUUUCAUGUUUUAAAAAUUGCAUCAGGUAAUCAAUAAUCUUUAAUGGUAGAGGUAAACCAUGUAAAAAAAAAAACAUAAUAAAUUAUUCAUUAAGUUGUUAAUCUGUUCAAACUGCACAAAUAUUAUUGAAUAUUUAUAGGGAGUACUAACAAAAUAUCACCAUCCUUUUCGUAAAAAGAUAUUAUUACAUUGUCUCAAUUUUUUAUCCACCAUAGAAUUUAUAAGCAUUAAUUAGAAAGAAAUUGAUGAGUAUCACCCGUAAGAAUGGAUGAGUUGGUAAAAUCGAUGGUAUUUCAUAAGAAAAUUUUGGAUUGAUUUUUCCUCCAAGGCUGUUUCAAUAAUGUUUGUCGCACCAAAUCAUAUGUACACCCCUAAUUACAAGUUAGAGCAUAAAAGUGGAUCUAUCCGACUACUAUAUAUCCUUUUGUGUGUAUUUGAGCUAUUAUACGUGAUUGAGUUUAUCCAGUGCACACUCAAAAAAUAACAACUACAUAUUCUGUUAUAUAAAAGUGCAGGAGAAGCAUGUGGACCUCGUCCUGCCAGUUUUCACCUGCUCUCUUAUAAUUUAUUAUUUUUUUCUUUUUAUUUUAUUUGUUUUAUUUUAUGAUAAAUAUGUAUUUAAAAAUUACACAAAAUUAUUUUAAAUUACAAUAAUUAACGGCUUAAAUAUAUAUCUAAAAAUUGGUUGACUCUCGAAAUUCUAUCAAUGCUACAUAAAUUGUAAUAGACAAAGUAACAUAUAUUGUUUAAAAAUGACGUAAAAAAUAUUAUAAAUUACAAUAACUAAUAACCUAAAAUAUUUAAUGAAAGAUAAAAAUUUUGAUUUACUCUCCAAAUGCUAUCACAGUUACAUAAGACAGAGAAAGUAACAUAUAUUAUUUGAAAAUCAAUUAGUAGAAAGUAUUAUAAAUCUCAAUAUUAGCAACUAAAAAUAUGUGUGAAAAGUAUAUAUAAAAAGUUCAAUUGACUCUCUUAAUUUCAUUAGUGUCACAUAGAUUAAGACAAGGAGAGUAACAUAUAUUAUCUGAAGGUUAUGUCAAACUAUUAUAAAUCACAAUAAUUAAUAGCUUAAAAUAUUUAAAAUUAUAUAAAAAUCUUAAAACUAUAUAAUAAUGAUUGACUCUCCAGAUUUUAUCAAUGUCACAUAAGUUGAAACAUCGAGAAUAACAUAUAUUAUUUAAAAUCUAUAAGAAAAAAAUAUUAUGUAUCAUUUUAAUUAAUAACUUAAAAUAUUUAAAAAUCAUAAAAAAGAUUUAAUUAACUUUUGAAAAUUUAUCUGAAUUAUAAAAAAAGUACUCCCUUCAUCUCAUUUUAUGUGUCGCCAUUUUUUUUUAGUUCGUGCCAAAAAGAAUAUUAUCUUUACUUAUUUGACAACUAUUUAAUGACAACACUCCAAUUUUGUCCUUACUGGAUCCCACUUAAUAAGAUAAGACAACUAAAACAUAAAUUUUAAGAGGCACAAUUUUAUAAAUUUUACAAGAUCAUCACUCAUUUUUUAACUUUUUUAGUAAAAGAAUCGUUGAGAUCAUAUGUUGUCUCGUGAAUGGUAGGUACAAAGGCCAAUUAUGAGGAAGUUUAAACACACAGGUAACUAGGAAAAUAGUCAUGAGGAAAAGAAUUUCCUAAGCUAAAGCCCACCUCGCUGGCCCAUCUACCCUAUCUAGUUAUUACAUAUACCCAAGGGGCCGUUUGGUUUGCAAAUAAUUUCGAAAUAAAAUUUUUUAUCCGUCAUUUGAUUGUAAAUAUUUAGAAUAACUUAUUUCAAGAAUAAUAAUUAAUCCCAAAAUAAGUUAUCCACUCAAAUGGUAGGAUAACUAUCCCGGAAUUAUUUUUCUUUGGUAUAAAAUUAUACAAGGACAAAACUAUCCUCCUGGGAUUGUUAUAUAUAAUUAAAUAUAAUUAAUAUAAUAUCUUAUAAUAUUAACAUAAUAUAUAUAUAAUUAAACAUAAUUAACGUAUAUAUAUUCAUAAUAAUAUACGUUAUAUAUUACGUAAUUACGUUAUACAUAUAUAACAACCAAACGUAUAAUAUUAUGAAUAUAUAUAUGUUAAUUAUGUUUAAUUAUAUAUAUAUUAUGUUAAUAAAUUUAAUUAUAAUAUAUUAUGUUAAAUUAUGUUUAAUUAUAUAUAAUUUAAUUAUAUAUAACAUAACAUAUAACAUAAUAUAUUCUCACACACACAUAAAUUAUGUUUAAUUAAUGUAUACUAUAUUCAUAAAUAAAUAAAUUUUGAACAGUUUACCGUUCAAAAUGGUUGUAAAAUAUAUAAAUUAUGUUUAUUUAUAUAUUUUAAUUUCUCUAAAAAAUAAAAAUAAAAUUAUAAUGAAUAUUUAAAGUUUAAAAGGAAAUAUAAAUAUAAAAAAUGUUAAAUAAGAUGGAGGGUAUUUUGGUAAUCAAUCAAUUUAUUCCUAGAAAUUAUACCAUACAUAUUACUUUGAAUAUAACAAACCAAAUACUCAAUAAAAGUUAAUCCCAGCAUAACUAAUCCCACUAUAACUUAUCUCAUCACAACUUAUCCCAGCAUAACUAAUCCUGGUAUAACUUGUUUUCAAACCAAACGACCCCUAAGAUAAGGAUUUUCUAAACAUACUCCCAUUUCCCCGUCCUCAACACCUGAACAGUGAUGUUGCCGCCUCUCUUCAAUCUUGAUUUUCUUCUUCUUCUGCUCAUUUGGGUUAUUAAUGGUCUUGCACUCCAAGUUGGUGAUUCUUGAAUAUCAAUUUUCAAGAGUGAGUAUUAUUCUCUACUCUUUCUUGUUUUUCAUUUGAUCCAACGAUCUGUUUUUUUUUUCUCAGUUGUGCUAUUCGAUGGGUGGAUUUGUUCUUUCUUUUUGCUGAAGGUCCCGUCUUAGAUGGUGUUGUGCUCUAUUGGGUAAGUACUUAGCUUUUCAUUUUUACUCAUUCCUAAGCAGAUUUUGAUCCCUCUUUUCUUGUAGGUGGAUUCGUGAUUGAGUGCAUGGGAAGCUCAGUACUUCCACCCUAUAAUGGACAAAACAUUUCCAAGUUUAUCGUUCCUAAUUCAGUCCUGGACUUUUUCAUUUUGCCGUGUCUUUUUUGAUGAUUGAAGUAGUGUAUGCUAGCAUUUUAUUUAUUUUUGUAGCCUUUCUGUUGAUGUAAAUAAUAUUUAAGUGGAAAAAUUUGUGUUGUAUCCUUUUCUGACCCUUAUUUCUUCAUAGGUUAUACUUUCAGAUACGGGCUCUUUAGCUUGUCACUGUUGAUAAUGUGCUUUCCUAUUGCUUUCAUAUUGUUAACAUGAACAAAACUGCAGUCCCCUUUAUCUAUUGCUAGAUUUGCUAAGUAAUCUGCUAGUUUGUUGCCCUCCAUCAUAAUGUGCUAAAAUUUUAUUUUAUUUUUGGCAAGGUUGACUUUAAUCUCCGUUGUCAUGUUUGUGAUGCUCCAUAGACAUACUCGGUCACCUUCUAAGAUCCUUUUAAGCAACAUGAAAUCUGUUUGUAUGAAGACUCUAGUGUACUAUGUUAAUUUGCAAUGUUUACUGGCUGCUAAGAUGGUUAUUGCUUCACUAUUGUAUUUGUAUUAUCUUUUAGUGUAGUUUUCCAAGCAUAUAAUAGAUUACCAUUUUCACCCCUUAGGCAGAAUGCAUAAGAGGCCAUUCUAGGAUUUCCUCUUGAUGGACCGUCAGUAUUAUAUUUGACCCAAUCUACAGGUAGAAAUUCCCAAAUAACUUAGAGAAUCUUCACUUGUGAUUUGAAUUCUUCUAGUUCUGUAAGUAUUCCUGACCAAUUUCCUGAGAAUUUCAAUGAGGUCUUCUUAUUCUGAGUAGCAUGUGCAAAUUUCUAAUCAUAUUAUGUAUAACCCUUUGAACUGUUAUUUUUUCCUUCAUGCUUAUUGAGAUUUCUGUGUUUCUACAAUUUUCGUACUAUAAUGCUUGGAAUAGCCUUAUAGUAAGAUUUUAUAUCAUUCUUUACUCCAACUUUUCACCAUAACAUAAUCACUUUUCUUACACAAAGUCCUUCAAUUUAUAAUCCUGUAAAAGAACAAAAGUAGGACCAAGUCCUGUUAGCAAUAAUAUAUCUUAAGAACAGAUGUAAUUGUCUCUUAAUUUAGAUUUAUAUAACACUAACAUCUAGAAGGUGUGACACCCCAACUUAGGAAGAAAUCCCAUAUCGACAAAACACAGGAAAGAGUUCCAUAUAGGCAAAACGCUGGAGGGAUGUUGGGUAUAUAAGUUAGCAAGCCUUACUCCCUAGUGACACAUUUUAAAAUCGUACGGGCCUGACCCAAAGCGGACAAUAUCACUAGUGGAUUGGGGAGUUACAGGGAUAUCUCGAGCCUCCGUGGGUUGGGAUGCCCGUCGUGGUCAGGGCCCCGGCUCGGAUUGUGACAGAAUGGUAUCAGAGUCGUUCCUGUAUCAGCCUUGUCGAUAUGGAUCAGAGUUCAAACUGAGUGUAAGCAAAUCCCGGUAAGGCAGGGCAAACCUCAGUCCUGAGUCUAGGCAAAUUUCAUUAUGUGGGGGCAAACCUCAACGAGGAGUUGAGUCCAUAAGGGGAGUGUAUGUGACACCCCAACUUAGGAAGGAGUCUCAUAUCGGCAAAACACAGGAGCGAUGUUGGGUAUAUAAGUAAACAAGUCUUACUCCCUAGUGCCGCAUUUUAAAUUCGUACGGGCCUGGGUCCAAAGCGGACAAUAUCACUAGUGGGUUGGGGAGUUACAGGGCUAUCUCAGACCUUCGUGGGUCGGAAUGUCCGUCGCGGCCAGGGCCCCGGCUCGAGUCACGACAGAAGGUCCCUCAACACCCCAUUCUAAUUUUUUCAUCCACUUGUAUUAUAAACUUUCAUAACCUCCACAUAAAGAAAAACAUUUUGAAUGAUAAUUCUUUGACCCAUAUUCAUUUAUACACCUUGUUAGGAUUUUCUUUGUACCUAUGUACUAUCAAGCUGUUUUAGCUGCGAAAUUUUCAUUUGUGCUCAACAUCAAAUAAGAUCUAUCAUUCUCUCUUUCUGGAUUGGGUUUUUUUCAUUCUUCAAAAUAUGUGUUACCACCUCAUUACUGAAUACAUCUACAUACUCAGAUAAUAAAUUUAUCAUUUUUUUAUGAAUCUAGUAAGUUAGUAUGUGUUUAUGAUACAUGUGAAUAUCUAUGCAUACAACUAUAUUAUUCUUGAUAAAGUCCAUCAGUUUUUAUCAAAAUGAAUUAAUUUAUCAAUCACAAGUAUCAAGUAUAUGUGCAUCAGGCAUAUGUAUGAGAUAAACGUAUUUAAACAUAUCAAGAACUUAAGUUUCCUUUCCACAAUUUAAGAAUGAUACAUAUGUUUGAAGUCUAAUAUAAGGGAUAUAUGUAUCAUACAUAAGUAUCAGAUAAAAUCAGUAAUACAUAUGUAUCAAUAUAUAUAUAUAUAUAUGAUAUGAUCUAAUGAAAAGUUUUAAAUUUUAAUUUUGCUUCUAUUUUAGCUAUUUUGGAGAUUCUCUCCCAUGUUUCACUCUACUAAAUAAUUGUAAUUCUGUUACUUCCUUAUUUAACUACAUGAUUGAUUUAAAAUGUAUCAAAAAUGAUAUGUGUCAGGACUUAAAUAUGUAUUACAAAAAUGAGAUUUAUGAAAUUUUAUGUAAUUAAGCAAAAUUAUAAUUAAAAAAUGUUAGUAAACAUAUGAAAUUUGUGUAAGUUACCCGUUAAAAUAAAACAUAAAAUGAGUAUUAUAAAAUUAACCGGGAUUGGAAACUUAAUUAGUGCUUCCAUUAUUUCAAUUUGUUUAUGUUGCUUUUUUCAGUCAAUAUUUUAAUUCUAAUUUUUAUAUGACAUGUUUAAGAUUAUAAAUUUUAAAAUUAUUUUAAUACAGUCAACAUAUCCUUAAAGACAAUAAAAUUUCAAAAUCUAGUUUGCUUUUUGGGAUCCGUUUGGACAUGUGAUAUGGAAUCAUUUGAUAUGAAAUUAAAAUUUUGUUUGGACAUGCUAUUUGAAAUUGUUUGAAUUGUAUUUUUUUUUUUCCUAUAAACAUGAGGACCGCAUAAGUUCUUAUAAUUCUUAAAAUUUCCUCAAGUCUUAUGAAAUGUUAUCAAAUGAGCAAACCACAAUUCAUAUAUAAGAUAUCGUAAUAUUCUAAGAUGUUGCAUUAGUAAAUUGCAAAUCUCCAUGCUUCUUUAUAAACAGGAAAUUACAUGAUAUAGCCCCAAUAGUGGGUGACUUUGGAUUUUUGACCCCAAAUAAGAAAAGUCUUUAAAGACUAGCCUUCUUUCCCUUUUUAGUAUAGUACAAGUACAAUUUUUGCCUUCUACACCUCAAAGAUUUUUAAACUUUUCAUAUUCAUUUGUCUCUCAAGUUCUAUUUUUAUUUUUAUUAUUUUUACUUUUUUAUUUUUUCCUUUAAUUUUAUUUUCAUGUUUUAAUUUAUUUGUCUCAGCCUUUAUUUUUUUCUCAAACGUUAUCUAUUUCUUCAUUUUUUUAUUUUCUUUUUUUAUUCAUUUGUCUCAACCUUUAUUUUUCUUUUAUUUUGGAUUUUUAUCAUUUCUUUUUUUUCCUCAUUUUUCUCAAACUGUAUUUUUAUUUUUUCCUCUCAUUUUUAUUUUUCUCAAUUUUUCUUAUUCUUCACUUUUUUCUUAAUCUUUAUUCUUUUCUUGUCCUUUUUUUUUUCUCAAUCUUUUUUUAUUUCUCUAUUUUGUUUGAUCGUUUUAUUCCUUUUUUCUCAACUUCUAUUAUAUUUUGUUAGUAAAUAAAAAUUUGAAUAAUCCGCAAAGGGAUCUUCUUUUUGACAUCAAAGCAAAUUUAAGGGCAUUAAUUGUUGUUAGAAAGUUCUUUGGGAUAAAUUUUGCCUCUAAGACAAAAAUUAUAGACAAACUCAUAAAUCAAUGCACAAUGUGGUAGUGUCAAGUCUUGUCUGUGGAGCAUAACUUGUUGUUUGAAAAUCCUUGAGUUAAAUCUUGCUUCUAAGACAAAAGUUAUAGAACAUCUCAUAAAUCCAAAAAUGAUGUGGUAGUGUUAGCACUUGUUCAUUGGGCGUAACUUGUUCUUUUGGGAGGUUCUUGGGCUAAGUUUUGUCUUAGAGGCAAGACUAAAGAGCAUCACAUAAAUCAAGACACAAUAUGAUAGUGUCAAUUUUUGUCCACGGGGUCUAACUUGUCAGCCAAGUCUUGCCUCUAAGGCAAGAGUUCUAGAAUAUCUCAUAAAUCAAUACACGAUGUGGUAGUAUCAACUCUAGCCCAUGGACCAUGGGGCGUAGCUUGUUGUUUGAAAGUCAUUGAACUAAUUCGAGCCUCUAAUGCAAGAGUUAUAGAGCAUUUCACAAAUCAAGACACAAUGUGGUAGUAUCAACACUUAUCCAUGGGACAUAUCUAACUUGUUGUUUAAAAGUCCUUGAUUUAUAAAACAUCUCAUAAAUCAAGACACAGUACAGUAGUGUCAACUCUUGUCUGUGGAGCGUAAUAAAACUCCUUAGCCUAAGUCUUAUCUCUAAAGUAAGAGUUAUAGAACAUCUCAUAAAUCAAAACAUAAUGUGAGUGUCAACUCUUACCCAUGGGACAUAACUUUUUAUUUGAAAGUCCAUAGUUAAGUCUUGCCUCUAAGACAAGAGUUAUAAAAUAUCUCAUAAAUCAAAUAUAAUAUGGUAAUGUCUACUCUUGCUCAUGGGGCAUAACUUGUUACUUGAAAGUCCUUGGUCUAAGUCUUGCCUCUAAGGAAAGAGUUAUAAAACAUCUUAUAAAUCAAUACAUGGUAUGGUGGUGUCAACUCUUGUCCGUGGGGCAUAACUUAUUGUUUGAUGGUCCUUAGACUGAGUCUUACCUCUAAGACAAGAGUUAUAGGACAUUUCAUACAUAAAAAACACAAUGUGUUAGUAUUGACUUUUGCCCAAUAUAUGUAACUUGUUUAAAAAUUCUUGGGACAAGUCGUGUCUCUAAGGCGAGAGUUGUAGAGCAUCUCAUAAAUAAAGACAUAAUGUGAUAGUGUCAACUCUUGCCCAUGAAAUAUAACUUGUUGUUUAGAAGUCAUAAGUCUUGUCUCUACAAUGUGGUAUUGUCAACUCUUACCCAUGAAACGUAGCUUGUUGUUUGAAAGUUAUAAGUCUUGCUUUUAUAAUGUGAUAGUGUCAACUCUUGUUCAUGAAAUGUAACUUGAAUGAAAGAAAUCGAAGGAAAGUAUAAAAAUAAUAAAAAUUGCGAAAAAAAGAAGAAAUGAAGAAAAAUAUUAAAAAAAAAAUCAAAGAAAAUGUAGAAGUGAAGAGAGAAUGUGAAAAAAAAAUAAAAGUUGAUAACAAUAAAAAAAAGAUUAAAUAAAAUAAAGGUCGAAAAAUAAAGAAAAGAAAAAAUAAAAAUCAAAGGUUUUUUUUUUUUUAUAAAAGUAGACGUUGAGAGGUGUAAAGGAAAAAAAAGUAAAGGUUGGAGAAAAACUAAAAAGAAAAAAAAAGAGGAAAGAAAAAUAAAAAAUCAAAGUAAAAUAAAAAGGAAAAAAGGUAAGGGUCGAGAAAAAAAAAUCAAAGUAAAAUUAAAAGGAAAAAAAAAUAAAAGUUGAAAGAUAUAAAUAUAGAGUUGUUAUCCAUUAUGAGGAUCAUUUAUGUAAUUUACAUCAUUGGUCAGAGAUAAUUUCGUCCAAAAAAAAUAUUAGAUAAUAGGUAAAGGUUAUUUUAAGAAUUUUUUUUUAUUUGGGACUAAAAUUUGAAAGUCACCGCUAAUUUGGCUCUAUUCUUGAGAUUUACCCCUUUAUAAAUAAAUGUUUGAGAUUACAAAAUUUUAAUUACACAUAAUUUAGGCAAAAUGACUCGAUGGAUCCUUUUAUUAUGUCCAAUUUAUAGUGUAGAUACUCUUACUUAUAUAUUUGUCAUCUUAUCCUUGAACCCUCUAAAAAGUAACAUUUUAAACCUUUUUACAGUGUGUGAAUAAUCCUAUUUAUAUAUUUGUCAUCUUGCCUUUAAACCCACUAAAAAAUAACAUUUUAAACCCUUUUGUGGUGUGUGUAGCACGCUUGCUGCCAUAUCAGCUUCUACAUAAAUUUCACGUCAUUUUUUAAUUAAAGAUAGAAAAUAUUUUUUUAAAAAAAAAAUACUCCCCCCCUCCCCCUCUCUCUGCCCCCACCCAUUAGUUUUUGUUUUUCUUUUUUCUUGAUUUCUUCUUAAUUAUUAGAUCAUGAAGGAGUUGUUUGUGUUUUCUUUCUUGUAGAAAUUGGGUUUGUUGAUUUGAGAUAAAGACUUAAGAAGCAAUUUCUCCAUGUGAUGUGUAGUUGAGCUGAAUUGGACAGCCAGGAGAAAAAACAAAAGGAAACGGAAGGAAUUUUGUUCCACACGAAUGUGCACAGUUUGAUCCAAGAACUAUAUUUGAUGAAAAAAUGAAUAUAAACAAAUAUAGAAUUGUUCUAAAAUGGAGAGGUGAAGUCACUUUUUGGGUACAUGUGAACAAGGGAAAAUUAAUGGUGGUAGGGGGCGUUGAUGGUGGCCAUGACUAUUGUUGAGGGGGGUUGNNNNNNNNNNNNNNNNNNNNNNNNNNNNNNNNNNNNNNNNNNNNNNNNNNNNNNNNNNNNNNNNNNNNNNNNNNNNNNNNNNNNNNNNNNNNNNNNNNNNNNNNNNNNNNNNNNNNNNNNNNNNNNNNNNNNNNNNNNNNNNNNNNNNNNNNNNNNNNNNNNNNNNNNNNNNNNNNNNNNNNNNNNNNNNNNNNNNNNNNNNNNUGGGGGACCUUUUUUUAAAUAUUUUUAAAUUAUUUUAAUAUAAAAUUAACCCCACUCGCAUUCAUAGUGUGUUUCGUGCUAAUCGGCCAUUUUAAUGUUACAUAGGUUUGAUCAAUGGUCAAAGGGUUUAAAAUAUCUAAAAAUUACAUAACUACACAACUCAUGUUUUCAAUAUUAUAAAAAAAAUCCCAACUCCUAAACAUAUUACAAAAAUUUCACAUAUACACAGAAUGCUAUGUAUAUGUCGGCUGUGUUAUGUAUAUUAAUAGAAAAAGAGAGUAAAGUAAUUUAAAAAGUGAGAGAUAGUGUAAUUACUAUUAAAAGGUUGGUAUUUAUGUUAUUUAUACUUAAAAUAUUAUUUUUUAGCAUGUUCAAGGGUCUAGAUGACAAACAUAUAAGUAGGAGUAUCCACAUUACAAAUCGGACAUAGUACAAGGGUCCAUCGAGCCAUUUUGGUACAAGGUUCCAUUGAGUCAUUUUGCCCAUAAUUUACGAAGAUCAAUUAAUCAGCAAUAACAAUACCUAAUUAUUCUUUAAAAUAUUUCUUUUACAUGAAACAGACGAGUUGUUUGGGCCAAACAUGAUAUUUCAUCUCUGGAGGCAAAUUUGAUCUCAUGAUUCAUGUCCAAACGGUUGCUUAAACUUGGUAUCAAAGUAAAAAAUUGGACAAAGAAGAUUGAAAGGGAGUGUGUAUUUUAUUAGCAUAUCUAUACGGAGGAGCUCCCCAUGGUUUUCCUUGCCAAGCAGGUUGCUUUCAGUAGGAAUCCGACUUGUCCAAUUUUAAGGCUUCUCAUUUGAACCUUCAUUUUUAAGCAUCUAAAAUAUAUUCCUAGUAAAAUUUUGAAACGGAAUAAGGACACAUGGAGAUUGUCCAUAUAUGAUAUAAAAAUAGUAUAUUAAAGAAAUAAUUAUUUUUGUUAGUAUUGUUGAUUUAUGAUUUUUUUUUUUAAUUAUAUCUAACUGAAAGUUUUUAAUGAUAAAUAUUUAUUUAUGAAAAAGAGAACAUUUAAAACUUUUCCUGAACUUGUGUCAAAAUUCAAAAUUAGACUGUAAAAAAUCUUAAAUAAUGACUUAAUUGAUACAAAAUAAAAAUACAAAAUUAAUGACUUUUCUUACAGCGACCUUUUAACAUAUGACAAUAACACGAAAUUUAAGAAUUUUCGUUAUUUGUUUAAACUUGGUGUCAAAGUCAAAACUGACAACAAAAUUGAAGGAGAGAGUAUUUUAUUAACUGGCAUAUCUAUACGCAGGACCUUACCGUAUUUUUCCUUGCUACGUGGGUUGCUUUCAAUAGCUACAGCGCUAUUGAACCUUCAAUUUUUAAAGCAUUUAAACUAUAUAUAUAUAUGUACUCCUAGCAAUUAAUUUCUGGACAAAGUGAGAGUUAAACAAAGAAGUAAUUUGGAGAAAAAUCAAAAUUAUGUCUAUGGAGGAGCCGCUGGUGGAGAAAGAAGAUGUGGCGGUGACAAGGAAAGUGUUUGUUGAUGAGCUGAAAGAGGCGAGUCACAUAGCUAUACCAAUGAUAAUAGUUACAGUAUCACAGUACCUUUUACGUGUUUCGCCAAUGAUAAUGUUGGGUCACUUAGGUGAACUUUCACUUUCUAGUGCUUCUAUUGCUACUUCACUUUCCAAUGUUACUGGUUACAGUCUUCUCGUAAGUCUCCUUAACAUUAUGUUUCUCUUGCACUAAUCAUUGAUCUAGGUGUUGCAUGACCGAAAGGUCAAAUUUUAGUAUGAAUUUUGGUAACAUAGUCAAUAGUUGCUUAAACAUAUAUUGAGUAAAAGUAGCAAUAACCAGAAACAUUAGUAUUCAGGUUUAGAACGGCCUCCUAUCUAUCCGUCCUCAAGCCAAUGAUAAUCUUCUUUUAUUAUGUUAAUUCCCUUAUAAUCUAGUAGACUUGAGAUAUUUUCUGGCUAACUAAAGAGAGGAGCAGUUUUGAAGGCAUUAGUUGCAGAUAUCUUUGAUAUUCUUACUUCAUUCAGGUCUUAUCUAUUGACAACUAUAUUUUAUGUAAAGAAGAUGUUGCUUGACAUAUUCAUUGUGUUGAGUUUAUUACUAGCACACUUGACUUUCUUUAUUCGAAACCAUUUUUCUUGGUGUUAAUUCUGUUCCGGGGAUCAGUAAGAAAUCCAUUCUUGUUCCAAAUGCUAGAGGUGUGGCAAUGGUUUUGUAGUGACUGUAAACUGGAUGGAGGAACUCUGUUGUGGCUGUCUUCUCUGGCAAAUGAGAGUUUGCUCAGAUGGUUUGACUGACUUAGUUUACGAUUAAGGAAAGGGGAAAUUUGUGAAAUCGGUCUUAGUACCCCAUGGCUAAUUGCCUAUAAAAAAAGAAAAAAGGAAGGAACUUGUUAGCACUAAUGACUUGUUUGCAUACCUUUUUUAUCCUUUAUAUAAAUGAAGAAUGUCUAUGAAGAAGCAUUGGAUUUAAUUUUGUGGAACAGUUUGGAAUGUCUAGUGCGCUGGAGACUCUAUGUGGGCAGGCUUAUGGAGCAGGACAAUAUCGAAAACUUGGAACUUAUACUUACAGUGCUAUUAUUUGUCUAUUUCUGGUGUGCAUACCAGUCUCUGUUCUGUGGAUCUUCACAGAUAAACUUCUUAUAUUAAUGGGUCAAGAUCCUUCAAUAGCAGCUGAAGCUGGAAAAUAUGCAAUUUGGCUCAUUCCUACACUAUUUCCAUAUGCUAUUCUUCAGUCACUUGUCCGGUAUCUGCAGGCACAAAGUAUAAUCCUACCAAUGCUUAUAAAUGCAGUUGCAUCUUUAUGCUUCCAAGUGACAGUUUGCUGGGCUUUUAUAUUCAAAUUGAAUUUAGGAAGCACCGGAGCAGCGCUGUCAAUUGGUUUAUCCUAUUGGUUGAAUGUGAUCUUGCUUAUGUUUUAUGUGAAGUACUCAUCGGCUUGUGAAAAGACUCGAGCUUCAUUCUCUAGGGAUGUUUUCCUGACUAUAGGGGACUUUUUCCGCUUUGCGAUCCCGUCUGCUGUAAUGGUUUGGUAAUCUCAAUAGCAAAACAUACAUAUAUUUUUGUCAUUUGAGUUUAACCAUGAUUCUUGUCUUUUGAUCGUUAAUGUAUUACUUCAACUUUUUUUACGAACAUGGAUAUAGCUUGGAAUGGUGGUCAUUUGAGAUAAUCAUUCUUCUCUCCGGUCUGUUGCCAAAUCCGAUGUUAGAAACUUCUGUUCUAUCCAUAUGGUAUGCUUCCUUUUCUAUGUGAACUUUGUUCUUUUUUUCCCUUUGAUGUUUGAAAUAACUAUACACUGAUGCGUUGUCAUGGUCUAAUCUCUUGGAGAGCAGCUUUACAACCACUUCUGUGCACUACCAUGUACCUUAUUCUUUUGGUGCUGCAGCAAGGUUUGCUCGUCCUUCCAACUUAACAUUUAUCUGAUAUCGUUGGUUGCAUAGAGUUAAACAUGCGAAAUUUAAGUAAUUAAUAUUGUACGUAGUACUCGGGUUUCAAAUGAGCUUGGAGCUGGGAGGCCACAGGCGGCAAAAAUUGCCCUUGCUGCUGUGAUAGUUCUUUCUGCCACAGAGGUUGUUCUUGCAAGUAUAACUCUAUUUGCAGUUCGCCAUGUAUGGGGCUCUGCGUUUACUUAUGAGAAAGAAGUAGUGACUUAUGUUGCAGAAAUUACUCCUAUUCUUUGUAUAUCAAUCAUCAUGGACGGCACCCAAGCAGUACUAUCAGGUUAUCUUUUUGUCCUCAUUAGCUUUAUUUGCAUAUUGCGAAUUAUAUCGAGACUAAAAGAGUUGUUCCAACUUCUAAAUUUUGAAAUACGAAAAGUGAAAUUGAUAAACGAGAAAACAAGAGUCAUCUUCUCAUGCCUUUUAAGUGUUGCUUCCUCAUUGCAUCAGGAGGAGAUCGGCAGACUUGUAAUGUAUUGGACGGGGUACCCUAGUUCUUUAUUUAGAUCAUAGAUAUAUAAAUGUGAAAGCGCUGAGAACUAGUACAAAUUUAUUAUGUUUUGAACCAAUAUUUUUCAAGAAUUUAAAUCCUGAAUCUGCCUUUGAUCAGGAGUUGCUAGAGGAAGUGGGUGGCAACAUAUUGGAGCCUAUGUGAACCUUGGAGCAUAUUAUUUGGUCGGAAUUCCUGCAGCUCUAUUACUUGGAUUUGUCUUGCAUCUAAACGGCAAGGGCCUUUGGAGUGGAUUGGUGGCUGGAACAAUUGUGCAAUCUAUUUCACUCUCCCUUGUCACAGGCUUCACUAAUUGGGAAAAACAGGUUCACAAUUAUUCAACUCUUACCUUGGUUUGUUACUGGUUGGUUAUUGUAAGUGUCCUGCAUGGGAUGAUAUAAUAGAAAAUUAUGUCGUAUAUAUUCUUGGGCAAUCCUCACAUCAUGCACCCCUUUUAGGGCUGAGUUAAGCCCGAAUAACACUUUCCUUCGAUAUAAAACUACCUUAUGGUUUAUGGGGCUUACCACUGGUGCAAUUGAAUGUUACAGGCCAUUGAAGCAAGAGGCAGAAUUUUUAAUGAAAAGCUUGCUGGCGAAAAUCAGUUCAUUGAAUGACAGGACGUGCAGAUGCUAUGGUAAAAUGAAAUAAAGGUAUAAGUAGCUUUGUUUUAGGGAGGAGCACCCUCAUCAUAGUACCAAUUGGACAAUUUAGAACGUGAUCCUUCUCUCAGGUGUUCAUUUAUUGUUUCGUUUCGUGCAUUAGAUAAACAGAUCAAUUAUUCAAGGAGAGAUUUUUCUGAAUUUAUAUAUAUAUUUUUUUUGCUCUCGGCAGAAUGAGGAAAAUUUUUAGUAGAACGGUUUCAUUGUUGUUAGAUAUGAAAAAACUGAUUGAUUAACUUGAAUCUGCAACUUCCAUUAACUUGCAUUGAUAGUUCUGUUACAUUGUGGAGAAGAAGGAAUGAACCAGAGCUAAGAUAUUUUUGUAUGUUGUUACUGAAGAAGGAUCUCAUCCACGUAUAUAGUGGUUGCACUAAUAACCAAAAUAACUAACUUGCUGUUGCGUCUCUACGCACACACAAGUGUACGUGAUCGUGCAAGUAAUAUAAUGACUUAGACAGUCAGAUAUCGUUCCCUCGAGGAUCAAUAAACUAGAAAUUUAUUCAAUCUUUAGUUCAAGACAAUUGAGUAUUUGGUGUUUGAUUGUAUCAAGAUUAAUAUGCUUUUGUAAAUAAAAUUUAAAUUACUAAACAAGAAAUAAUUUAUGAUGACUAAAGCAAAGUAAGCAACGGUUGUUAUCAAUAAUGAGGGCGAUUCCAGGGUUGAAGUAUUUUGAACAAUCAUACAAUUCUCUAUUCUAUUCACAGUCUAAUUGGUUAUCGGGUUGAUGGUUCGCAAGGUUUAUGCCACAAUCUUAGUCUCCCGACCUUAGAUAUUCUAUCUAUUUAAUGUUGUAACUACAACUCCCGCAGAGUUACAACAAAUCUUCUAGAUUCAUGAAGUUGUCUUCCUACAAGUGAACCAAGCAAGGCUUCUAGGUAUAUCCCUAUCCUAGAUGCUAAUUCAAAUAUUAUAUAAAAGAAAAAGAACCUUACUCCCUAAUUUCUUCGUUCUAUCCUAUGAUUCUCCUCCCGGAUUCACAUAGAAAUAUAAAUUUAUUCUAAUGGUGGCCAAUCAUUAAAAUAAUAAGCUCAAGAAAUUAGGAACAACCCAUAUGAUAAUCCAAAAAGAAACUAUGAAUAGGAAUAUUAAAUAGUACUCAUGUUCUUAGCCUCUAACCCAGAAAGGGUGUGUUUAGCUACUCAUGUACGAAUUAAUCCUCCAAAAUAAGUAACAAAUCAUACCCAAACCAAUCCUUGAAAUAGAAAAAUUCAAAAGAAUAUUUAUCAACCCUAAAAGAGAGAAAUUUCCAUUUUUCCGCCGCUGCUCUGCUUGACAAAAGUCUCCCAUAUUAUCUUGGAUUUUUUCUUUUAUAGUUGGGACAAAAAUACUUAAAAUAUUCCCGAUUUGUCCACCCGACGCGUCGCGCCAUGACUAAGAUUGUUAUUUUCCAUUAAAAUCUGGGAAAUCGCGGAGCUCAAGUAUUCCCCAACAAUUGUAAAAUGCACCCUCACCAUGACACACCACUAUCGCGGUGAGCCACUGGAUUGGGACAAUUGUGAAAUGAUCAUCCUCCACGAUGCGCUAAACCUUCAGGUCACCAAAUCUGAUAAACUAACUUUCUCCGCGACGCGGGGGGUUUCGCGAACCUUCACUGGAAUUCGACCAUUGCUAUUUUGUUGCUCAUCGCGACGCAGAGUGUCUUCAAAUGAGGAUUUCUUCUUCUCAACUUUCCUUUUCCAGCUUAAUUUCAGUCCCUUGCAUUCCUUCACUACUUUCAUAUCCUUGUUGUAUCCAAUUAUGCACAAUUCUUCACUAUUUUGCACCUAAAAGUACUAAUCAUAUCCAUUAGGCACAAGAUGGAAUAAAGUUGAAUUAUACUUAAGAAUUCAUACAAAAGUUCUUAAACUAAGUUCAAAUCUGGGUGCAUAAUGGUACUUUGAGCAUAUAAAUAUGCCCAAGAUCACCACCCCACACUUAAAACAUUGUUCGUCCUCGAACACAUGAAUUCAAAAACAUAAUUCCUUCCUCUUUUCAUCACAACCUCAAAGUUAUGUGGCCAUGAGGACUUACACUUUGCAAUAACGAAUUCUUACAUCAUCUUGUCAAAACAGUUAAGCUCAAGAAACAUUUUAGUACAAAUUCUUCUCUCUUCAAUAAUGAAUUUCUAACAUGUUGGCAAACUCAAUUAAGGAAACACAAUAAGUAAUUUGGCUUUCAUCCUCCUGCAUCCUCACUUAAGGAAACUUCCCCAUAUUUACUCACAAUGGUAACUAUGCAACAAUUGGGGAGUAUCAAAUCAAAUUGCUCACUCUAAAAAAAUUUCGUACAUGCUAGUGAACGAACCAUAAUCUUGCCCUUAGUAUUCUACGCCACUAAUAGUCAGAUGUUUGGGUAAAGGAUCAACUAGGUCUUUUUCGGGUUGUAAUAAAGGCUUAGGGACAGGUAGGUACUAUUUACAGGAAUAGUAACUAUUGCUCCUAAGCGUUUAAAUACAAGAACUAUCAAUUUACUCUAUUUUCCAACACCAAUUUAUCCUUCUAUUUCUCCCCAUAUUUUUAUUUGUCAGCACAUUUUUCAAUUAGCUUUAUUUUCUCACACAAGGUUGGGAAUAUUUAUCAUCUUUUCCAUAUUCUUGUUAUGUACCCCUAUUAUAGCCACCCUUAACUUAAGCUUAUAGGCCUUCAUCAAGGUGCACAUUAUCCAACUGGACCAGGGCCAAAACAGGUUCAUUGUAACAUUUCUAUUUACUAACUCCCACUUAACUCAACAUCAUUAAACAUUAAUAAAAACUACUUUGGGGCAUCACCGAUUACCUUCCUUUCUCAUUUUUUCUCUUAGUCUUAUAUUAAAAACGCUCAGGAGCUUAUUUGGAUCAAAUUACGAUUCAGCAAAGAAGGGGUAAGGUUUCAUAACAGGCUACCAAAGAAAUAGGUUGAAGGCUCAAAGGAGCUGACUAAGAUUAUGCACCAAGGGAGGGCUUUUAAAGUUAAAAACAAGGUUGUCAAAGAUCAAAGAAUUGCCUACGUCACUUCCUGCACCGAACACCCUUUAUUUCGCUUUGUAAACACACCGGACAAGUUCUAGUCAUUUCUAUUCAUGUAGAAUAUAUACGAAUCCUCACACUCACAUUGCAUGUGCGGAAUCAACCAGGUUCCCAAUCAUGUUCUUUAUUAUAUUCAAAAUUAUGCCAACACACCAAAUUUCAUUUAUCGAGAUGGAAUCCUCAGUACUUAAAAUAAAAACUCUUAUGCUAGAAUUAGUUUCAAUUAUUGCAAAGGUGGCCCAUUUCACACACUCCUCUAAAGUAGUGAUUAAGUUCUCCUAAAUUUCUUUACUUCGUACGAUCAAUCCCUUUAAGACGGUCGUCAUCCAUCUAUCAUAGGGGAUGACAACUAACUAUGAUUGUUUAUUCGUAAUUACCAAAGAGGACAAAAGCAAACGUAACUACUUGAAGCUGAAUCUUGCAAAUAAGGGCGAAAAUAACAAUAACAUAAUACUUUCAACCGAAACGAUAUGUGAUAAAUGCCACAGAGGGCAAAUUGCAAUCCACAAAAUAAAAGUUACUAACUAUUACAGACCAAUGUUCUGAAUAGCUAAUACUUCAAACCAACACAGCAAAACAGAAAAAUAAAAUAGAAAAAUAACAUUGUUCAGUCAAAUAACAGAAAAAUGCAAGAGAAUAAGAACCCACCACCCCACACUUAAAAUAAAGCACUGUCCCAGUGCUUCCAAUUAAGAUUAUGGUAGGGUGGCAGUGGCAGUAUACUUCCUGAUCAAUCAAAAGGGACUAUAGCAGACAUGUUCAUGUCUUCCGCAGCCAUAUCCCCAUCAUCGCCAUCAUCGUCAGCUUCAUCAUCAUCAGAUUGCUCCUCCUCAUUAGACUCCAUGUUGGAAUCCCUAUACCUCUGUUCUUCAUCUGUGGGUAUAUCAUCAUCAACAGGCUCCACAAAAUCUGGGCCAAUCUUCAACAUUGUCCUAGCGUGAUGACUAAGUGGAUAAUCAAGAUCUACAACGUGGAGCUCCUCUAGUGUAGCAGGCCUGCCUCCAGUCCGCGACAUCAUCAUCAUGAGGCCGUACAACCUACCCAGCACCUUAUCAAUCCGUUUCUGUCACUCUAUCAUCGUCAAAAUUGGGCUAGAUGCCCUAGCUGUGCUUCGAGCAGUAGUGAUAUCCAGAGGACGAGUGAUCACCUUAGGUUUAUAAUCAAGCUCCUCUUCAUCCACCUUAAGCUUUCUUAAAAAUCUAGUUACCAAAGCACCAAAGCCAAAGCUACACCCACCUGGGUACGUGCUUUUUUCAUAGCAGAAAAAAUGACACUUCCCACAUUAAUCUCCACAUCAGCACACAUAAGGACGUAAAUCAAACACACCCUAUCCUGAGUCACCUCAGUCAUAUGCUUGCCUUGUAUCGAGCAUGAAUACACUAUUCGUCUCCAUAUUCCUGCUUCCUUAUUCAUUUGAGAGUAGGGGAAAGAAGAGUACAAACUUGUAACUCGAUGCCUCGUCCAACAGGCUGAAGAUCGCUGGCCACACAACAAAUGCCUGAUGUGUGCAUAAGGAGGAGAAACAAUAAACUGUCGGAAGUAAUUUGGGUUCAUCCUGGGGAUACCCAGCAACUCGUUAAUAUCAGCAGUGGUGAAUCGAAUCACCUUCCCUCAAACCUUCAAUAAAUGUUCAGGAUGGUUGGGGUCCCAAUUUGCAUAAAAUUCUCUGACAAGAUGCAGGUUGCACUCCGUUGGCUGAUGAAAAAUGAAAUUCAUAUUAAGCACCUCAAUUCGCCGGACCAUAAAAGGACACUCUUUUAUCAAGCUGGCCCGAUCGAUAUAGACCUCUGGAAUAUACUUAGCAUCAGUAUGCUUAGUAUACACUGCUUUCCAGCCUUCCUUACAACAUUGAAACCUAAUUUUCGAACUUUCCCCCGCUGAAAUGGAGGGGCCGUAGGCACUCUAGUUAAUUGCCCUUCAGACGGUCGACUUCUCUUCCUUAAAGGGGCAGAAGGCCUUGCCUUUGCCUUGCCCUUACUUGACCAUGCUUCCAUUAUGCCUGCGAUUAAGAAAAUGCAAUAAACUAUGCAAAAAGAUUAAACUUAGGAUUAGCUGAACUGAACAUGCAUUACGAGUGCCUUCGCACCCCACACUUAGUUUGUUAGCCAUACACCUACAUUAACAACCAAGGUACUCAGACUUCCCUUUGCAUAGGCCUAAAUAUCAUAUUCACAGACCAUAUAUUCCUCUUAAAGACACAUCAUCCCUCGUUAUUUUCACAGCACAGAACAUUAUGUAAUCGACACCCAGCUAAUCACACAAUGCAAGACUAUAAAUAAGACCAUGUUACUAUAACAUCACACAUUCUAUAAUUUUAAUCAAUCAGCCAACAUCAGACAACCAGGGUUUUUUCACAAUGGAACAAAAUUUUUCCUAACUUCCUCAAGAUUCUACCCUUACUCCUCUAACUACAAUACCUUUCAUUCCCUAUCCUCUCAAGUAGCAUGAAAAAUCGUUCACUCCCUAAUCCCAAAUGCAAAUAUCAUUCAAGUGUGGUCUCAGUGAUUCAAAGUAAUGAGAAUUAGGCUAAGAUGUCACAAAUUGAACUAAAUAUCAAAAGCAAUGCUAAUAUUUACAACUAGUAGGAGAGGGAAAACAAAAUUAUCAACAAAACACAUUCACUACUCACGAAUUGUAAUAAGAAAGGUAAUAAAUAAAUAAAUAAAUAUGAACUUACCUCAAUAGUUGAGAGAAGAAUGAUAGAAAGUGAAAGAGUUUUUGAAGUUUUUAGGAGAGGGAGUGAGAAGGCAGAACGAUUUGUAAACAAAAGGGUUUAGGGUUGAGGAGGUUAUAUUUAUAGAGGGACGGGUCGGGUUAGGUUAAUGACAUUUUUAUGCCCGAUUUAAUCCCUCUCCGCGAUGCAGAAUAAUCGCAGAUACCUACUGGAUAAGGCCAAUUUCCAUUCAUCUUCACACCACGACGCGCUACAAUUCGCGUCCACACACUGUAAAUUGGCAAUUGUCUAAGUUUUGUGUCACGCUGAAAAUUGUGCACGUCCACUGGAAUUUGACAAUUCUCAAUUUACCUUUCUUCGCGUCGCGGUGAAUUUCGUAUACCCUUACUGGAAUUUGACAAUUGUUAAAUUACCCAGUUCCGCGUCGCGCUGUUCAUCAAACUCAGAUUACUUUUGCAAUUUUCACCAUUUUCUUACCUGAGUAAAUCCCCACUUACACAAAUCAUUUUUGCAAACCUAGUUUCUUUCCUCAAUUGUGGUAAUCUCCUCAUUUCAAAUUGAAAUUCCCUACAAAAAACCCUACACUUAAAAACAAAAACAACAAAAAUUGUAAGUAAAAGUGGGUUGCCUCCCACUCAGCGCCUUAGUUUUGGUCGUGGCACGACUCAUUUUUUUGUAUUUUUCUUUUCUAUUUGAUUUUACAAGACAAAAAUUAAACUACCUAUUACAAAUACAUUUGUGGUUUUCCUCCCACAUAGCGCCUUAGUUUACGUCGGGGCACGACUUAGCUCAUAAUUACUCCUCAGCGAAAGUGAUAGAUUCCUUGUGCUUGUCCAGAUGAUCCGCCCAAUAAUGCUUUACAUGCUGUCCAUUCACAAGGAAAUUCUCCGUUUUCUCUUUAUUCCACAACUCUACAGCUCUAUGGGGUGUCAUUCGCACCACCUCAAAAGGUACAGACCAUUUCGAUCGUAAUUUACCCAGAAACAACUUAAGCCGUGAAUUAAACAAUAACAUAAGUUGUCCGGGUUCAAAUUCCCUAACUUGAAUAUACUUGUCAUGCCAUCGUUUGGUAUUUUCCUUGUAAAACUUGGCAUUUUCAUAGGCGUGGAGUCUAAACUCAUCCAGCUUAUUCAGUUGCAAUAACCUUCGUUCUCUUGCGGCAGUCAUCUCAAAAUUCAACUUCUUCACAGCCCAAUAUGCUCGGUGUUCCAACUCUACAGGAAGGUGACAAGCCUUACCAUACACUAAGCGAUAUGGAGAUAUCCCAAUGGGCAUUUUGUACGCUGUUCGAUAUGCCCAUAGUGCAUCAUCCAACUUCUCCGCCCAAUUUUUUCUCUGCCUAUUCACAGUCUUCUGAAGUAUUUGCUUAAUCUCCCGAUUGGAUACCUCUACUUGUCCACUCGUUUGAGGGUGGUAUGCAGUGGCCACCUUGUGCCGAACACCAUAUUUAGCAAGAAGAUUCUUCAACCAGUUGUUGAUAAAGUGCGUACCCCCAUCACUAAUUAUUGCUCUUGGUGUACCAAAUCUGGAAAAUAUAUUCUUUUUCACAAACUUCAGCACCACUCUUGCAUCAUUAGUCUGACUCGCCAUAACUUCCACCCAUUUAGAGACAUAGUCCACUGCAACAAGAAUGUACACAUUACCUUUUGAAGGUGGGAAGGAGCCUAUGAAAUCAAUCCCCCAAACAUCAAAGACUUCUACUUCUAAAAUAUUAUUCAUGGGCACCUCAUGACGCCUGGUUAUAGUACCCAACCUUUGGCAUUGAUCACAACUCUUUACAAACACCACUGCAUCUCUAAAUAGAGUUUUCCAGAAAAAAACUGAUUGCAACACUUUUCUCGCAGUCCUCUCACCACUAUGAUGUCCACCAUAUGGAGAUAAGUGGCAAUCUUAUAACACCUUGACAAAUUCAGCCUCUGGGACAUACCUACAAAUCACUCCAUCUGGACCUUGGUUGAAAAUGUAUGGUUCAUGCCAAAUGUAAGCACGAGAAUCAUGAAGUAAUUUUUCUCUUUGUUGUGAGGUGAUUUCGGGAGGAUACACCCUACGAACUAUCAGGUUUACAAUGUCAGCAUACCAUGGAAACUCAACUGCUUCUGAUAACAACAACUUCUCAUCAGAAAAGUCUUCCUUGAUACUCUGAAAGUCAUCAACAAUAUGGUCUCUGUUUUUCAGCCGUGACAAGUGAUCUGCAACCUGAUUUUCAUCUCCCUUUCUAUCAUGCACCUCAAGAUUAAAUUCUUGAAGUAGCAGAAUCCACCUAAUUAAUCGUGGAUUUGCAUCCUUUUUGUUCACAAGAUACUUAAUGGCAGCAUGGUCUGUAUGAACAAUGACCUUCGUACCAAUUAAGUAAGAUCGAAACUUAUCAAAUGCAUAUACCACAACCAAUAUUUCUUUCUCUGUCGUUGUGUAGUUCUUGAGCAUCAUUCAGUACCUUGCUAGCAUAGUAAAUCGAUCGAAAUACUUUCUCUUUUGUUUUACCCAACACUGCUCCCACUGCAAUAUAACUAGUAUCACACAUUAGCUCAAAAAGUGACUCCCAAUCUGGUGCGAUCAAAAUAGGUGCUUCCGUCAACUUCUUCUUGAGCUUUUCAAAAGCUUCAUAGUAAUCAGCGAACUCAAACUUGGCUUCUUUCUCUAACAAUUUGCACAUGAAACUUGCGAUCUUUGAGAAAUCUUGAAUGAAUCAUCUAUAAAACCCAGUAUGUCCCAAAAAACUUCGCACGCCUUUGACUGUCACUGGAUGAGGCAAUUUUUCAAUUACUUCAACCUUUGCUUUGUCGACCUCCAGCCCUUUGCAUGACACUUUAUGGCCUAAUACAAUUCCUUUCUUAACCAUAAAAUGACAUUUUUCCUAAUUCAACACCAAGUUUGUUUCUUCGCACCGAGCUAGAAUUUUGUCUAGAUUUUUCAAAUAUUUUUCAAAUAAAUUCCCAUACACAGAGAAAUCAUCCAUGAAUACCACCACAAAUUCCUCCACCAUAUUCGAGAAUAUAGCCAUCAAACACCUUUGAAAUGUGGCAGGUGCAUUACAUAAUCCGAAGGGCAUGCGUCUGAAAGCAUACGUACCGUAUGGAUAAGUAAACGUGGUCUUUUCUUGAUCUUCCGGUGCUAUUCUUAUCUAAUUAUAGCCAGAGUACCCAUCCAGAAAACAAUAAUACUCUUGACCUACCAAUCUAUCCAACAUUUGGUCAAUGAAAAGAAUUGGAUAAUGAUCUUUACGAGUUGCUUCAUUCAACAUCCGGUAAUCUAUACAUAUUCUCCAUCCAGUAACUGUACGUGUGGUAACCAACUCAUUAUCAUCAUUCGUCACCACUGUCAUUCCUCCCUUCUUUGGUACACAAUGCACCGGACUCACCCAUUUGCUAUCAAAAAUUGGGUAGACAAUACCACUGUCUAACCACUUAAUUACCUUUUUUCGGACCACCUCUUUCAUAAUAGGAUUUAACCUCCUUUGUUGCUGCACUCUAGGUCUGUACCCCUUUCCAUGUAAAUAUUGUGCAUGCAAAAUAUUUGAUUGAUUCCUAAAAUAUCAGACAUCUGCCAGCCAAUCGCUUUCCUUAUCCUUUUAAGAAUUGCUACAGCUUCCUUUACCUAUACAUCGGAUAAUCCUGCGGACAAAAUAACAGGCAAGGUAUCUUUAUCACCAAGAAAAAUAUAUUGUAAGUGAGGAGGAAGAACCUUAAGCUCCAAGUUAGGAGCUUCUUCAAUUGAAGGCCUGGGUGGUGGACUAAUUGGUCUAUUCAAAGGCUCGAUCAACACUUUAUUUGCCUUAAUUACAACCAAAUUCAUAAUUUGUACCACUUCCAAUGCUUCUGAAUCCCCAUGCAGAUCAUAAUCUAUUAAUGCUCACUCUAGUGGAUCAUCAGACAAGAGCAACUGCCAAUCUGAAGUAAGAUCAAUAGCCGAUAUUAAGUACAACUCCUCAUAUAUGGCUGGCAAUUUCAAUGCCCUGUACACAUCAAAAACCUCAACUUUAUCGUGUGCUCGCAUUGUCAUUUUUUCAGCUGCCACAUCAUUGAGUAACUGCCCUGUUGCUAAAAAGGGUCGUCCCAAAAUAAAUGGAACAACUGGAUCGGCCUCAAAGUCAAGAAUCACAAAAUCCACAGGAAAAAUUAAAGACCCCACUUGCACCAGUACAUCUUCAAUAAUACCAUCUGGUCUAGCAAGUGACGUGUCUGCUAAUUGCAACACAAUAGUCGUGGAUUUGGGACUUCCACGACCCAUCUUCCGGUACCAUGACGUGGGGAUGAGAUUUAUGCUCGCCCCCAAGUCACACAAUCCCCGUGCACAAAUAGUUUAACCAAGGGUAAUCUGCAAUGUGAAACUCCCUGGAUCCUUCAAUUUCGUGGGCAGUUUAUUUUAAAUUUUAGAAGUACAAUCCUGAGUAAGUGCAACUGUAGCAUAUUCAGUCAACCGAUUCUUAUUGGCAACAAUAUCCUUUAAGUAUUUCGCAUAUUUUGGCACACUCUGUAGAAUGUCAACAGGAGGGAGGUUUACUUUAACUUGCUUUAAAAGAUUUAGAAACUUCUUAAAACUUGCUUCCUCUUGAUGAUUUCUUGCCCUUUGAGGAAAGGUCAAGGGGAGAGUCUUCUUCUCUACACGAAUCUCUUCACUAGCCUUUUUUUCUUUUACUUCCACUUCUACCUUCUUGCAAACUAUCAUCAGUGAUCUCGGGAUUAUCCUGCUCCUGAACUAUCUCCUUCAUUUGUAGCCCACUCCUCGUUGCCACCGCAUUCACUUGUUUAGGAUUAGCCUCAGUGUCACUAGAAAAUGCUCCUUGUGGCCUUGUAUUCUGUGAUCCUGCGAUUUGACCUAACUGCAACUCCAGAUUUCUUGUGAGUAAUUGUUAACUCUUCAAUUCAGCUGCAAACUGUGCCUAUUGAGCCUUCAUGUCCACUGCAAACUGUGCAUGUUGAGCCAUCAACUUCUUAAGCAUCUCCUCCAUAUUACUAUUCGAGGUAGUCAUCUGAUUAUUCUGAACUGAUUGUAGACUUGGUUGCACUGGUCCCUUAUACUGAUUUGUAUUCUGUGCCUGAUUUCCACCCCAUGAGAAAUUAGGGUGUUUCCUCCAAUUUGAAUUAUAUGUAUUGCCAAAAUUUUAUUGACUCUGACGAUUUAUAUUCCCCACGUAGUUGACUGAAUUUGGAUUAACAGAACAUGCAUCUGCUUUAUGCUCAUUGCUUCCACAAACUUCACACCAUGCAUAUACCUGUUGAACUACAUUUAUUGUGGUUGCUGGUUGAGUUGUACCCAACUUUAAGUUGUUAAGUUGAGUAGUCAUAUGGUUCUGCAUUUCUGCAAUCUGUGCUUGUAAAGCAGUAAACUGAUCAACCUCUAAAACCCCUGCAACUUUCUUGGGAGCAUUCCUCGAGUCUGCAUGCCAAUCAGGAUUACUUUGUGCAAUUCGAUUCAGCAAGGUAUAUAAUUCUUCAUAUGUUUUCUCCAAAGCUUGACCCCCUGCUGCUGAAUCUAUGAGAAUUUUUGUAUUAGACUGAAGGCCUUCUAUAAAUGUAUGCACCAAAACAUCAUUCGAUUGAUAGUGAUGAGGACAACUUCUGAGCAUGCCCUUAAAUCUCUCCCAAGCUUGGUAGAGAUUUUCUCCAUCUUUCUGUCUGAAACUCAAUAUCUCACUCCUUAAUCGAGCCGUUUUCUGAGAUGGAAAAAAUCGAAUGAGGAACCUUCGAGUACAUUCUUCCCAUGAUGUGAUGGAUUGGUGUGGUUUAGUAAGUAACCAUCUCUUUGCUUCCCCCAGUAGAGAAAAAGGAAAGAGUAUCAAUCUGACAUAAUCAACACUCAUAUCUUCAGGAAUACAUGUGUCCCUUAUCUCUAGGAAGGUUCGUAAAUGCUGCUGCGGAUCCUCAUGUGAAAGUCCCUGAAAUUCUCCCACAGAUUUCAACAAUUGCACCAUAUUUUGUUUCAAUUCUCAUCGAACUCCUUGUUCAAGAUUCAGGAUACUGUAAGUCACAAGGUGCGUAAGUGGGAUUGCCACUUCUCGAACAGGUCUUGCGACUGGUUGAACAGGAACAGCUGGAGCUGGAACAUUUUCAACAUUUGGAUUAGCAACUAUAGGAUCGAGUCUUUCUGCCAUCGAUUGAGCUCUUUGUCUCUGAUGAAAAAUCACUUCUGGUUCUGCAAAGGGCUCUACUAACUCUUUGUCUCUCGCCAGUCCAAUAUUCAGCUAAACCUGCAAAAAUUCAGCCACUAAGAUCAAGUUGUUAACACUUAAACUUAUGAUCAAAAACUAAAAAUUAAAGCAAUUUACUAGUUCUAUUUGAUCCCCGGCAACGGCACCAAAAACUUGUUGCGUCUCUAUGCACACGCAAGUGUACGUGAUCGUGCAAGUAAUAUAAUGACUUAGUCAGAUAUCGUUCCCUCGAGGAUCAAUAAACUAGAAAUUUAUUCAAUCUUUACUUCAAGACAAUUGAGUAUUAAGUGUUUGAUUGUAUCAAGAUUAAUAUGCUUUUGUAAAUAAAAUUUAAAUUACUAAACAAGAAAUAAUUUAUGAUGACUAAAGCAAAGUAAGCAACGGUUGUAAUCAAUAAUGAGGACGAUUCUAGGGUUGAGGUAUUUUGAACAAUCAUACAAUUCUCUAUUCUAUUCACAGUCUAAUUGGUUAUCGGGUUGAUGGUUCGCAAGGUUUGUGCCACAAUCUUAGUCUCCCGGCCUCAGAUCUUCUAUCUAUUGAAUAUUGUAACUACAACUCCCGCAGAGUUACAACAAAUCUUCUAAAUUCAUGAAGUUGUCUUCCUACAAGUGAACCAAGCAAGGUUUCUAGGUAUAUCCCUAUCCUAUAUGCUAAUUCAAAUCCCUUAUUUUAUAAAAGAAUAAGAACCUUACUCCCUAAUUUCUUCGUUCUAUCCUAUGAUUCUCCUCCUGGAUUCACAUAGAAAUAUAAAUUUAUUCUAAUGGUGGUCAAUCAUUAAAAUAGUAAGCUCAAGAAAUUAGGAACAACCCAUAUGAUAAUCCAAAAGGAAACUACGAAUAAGAAUAUUAAAUAGUACUCAUGUUCUUAGCCUCAACCCCAGAAAGGGGGUGUUUAGCUACUCAUGUAUGAAUUAACCCUCCAAAAUAAGUAACAAGUCAUACCCAAAUCAAUCCUUGAAAUAGAGAAACUCAAAAGAAUGUUUAUGAACCUUAAAAGAGAAAAAUUUUCGUUUUUUCGCCAUUGCUCUGCUUGACAAAAGUCUCCCACAUUAUCUUGGAUUUUUCCUUUUACAGUUGGGACAAAAAUACUUAAAAUAUUCCCGAUUUAUCCAUCCGGCGCGUCGCGCCAUGACUAAGAUUGCUAUUUUCCAUUAAAAUCUGAAAAAUCGCGGAGCUCCAGUAUUCCCCAACAAUUGUAAAAUGCACCCUCACCGCUACACGCCACUAUCGCGGUGAGGCACUGGAUUGGGACAAUUGUGAAAUGAUCAUCCUCCACGACGCGCUAAACCUUCAGGUCACCAAAUCUGAUAAACUAACUUUCUCCGUGACGCGGUAUUUUGCGAACCUUCACUGGAAUUCGACCAUUGCUAUUUUGUUGCUCAUCGGGACGCAGAGUGUCUUCAAAUGAUAAUUACAAAAAAAAUAAAAUUAAACAACAAUAAAUGCCAAAACAAAAACAAAUAAUUAUAAUGAAAUUUUAAACAAUAAUAACUGCCGAAAAAAAACAAAAAACAAGAUAUACACAUGACAUCUAAUACUUGCUUGAUUAAAAUUACUUAUUAAAAAUUUAAUAAGUAAAAAUGAAAAAUAUAUGGCUAUUUUAAAAAUUAAAAUUACUUAUCAUAACAGAGAGGAACGUAUAUAUUCUUUGAAUAUGAAUAGUUGGAGGAGUUUCCUACUUCUGCUAAAUUACCUUUCAUUAUGACUCAAAUAAUUAUAUCUAUCUUCAUAUAAUAAUAGAGGCAAAAUUGCCACAUAUCAGCAUCAUAAAAAAAUAAUUUUAAAAUAUUUUUUUAAAAAAAUUAUUCACUAAAUUUUUUUUGUUUUAAAAAAAAAAUUUAUUACACAAAAAACUCACAUAUAAGAUAAUAACAGUAUAGAAAAACUACCAUAUAGUAAAAACUGCACAUAGUAAUUAAGGUUAUGAAAAAUUGCCACAUAUUCAAGUUAAAACACAUUUUUUACUUGAGAAAAAUUAAAUCAUAUAUCUAUGUCUAAUAGGAGAGGCAAAAAUAUCAUGUGUAAGCACCAAGAAAUUUUUUCAAUUUUAACAUUUAACUUUCCAUCACAAUAGAAAUUUCAACUUUAAAAAGAUAAAAAUCAACGUACAGUCACAAUAGAACUUUUGCUAAUCAACUUCCAUAGUUUUAUUUUUCUUAAUAUUUAACAUUUUCGUAAUAAAUUUAUCUAUAUCUAAUAGUACAUUUCCGUACAUAAUUUAAAAAUUAAAAAAUAAUAAUACAAAAAAAAAUUAAACAACAAUAAAUAUCAAAAAAAUAAAUAAAUAAUUACAAUAAAAUUUAACACUACACACAACUUAAACAACGAAAGAUGAAAAUAGGACUUUUCGUAAAAAAAUAAAAAAAUAUAGUAUAUCUAUAUCUUAUAGGAGAGGGAAAAUGUCAUGUGUCAGCACCACAUAAAAGCAAUAAUUUAUUUUUUAAAAAAUAAAAAUUCUUUUUUUUAAAAACACUUAACAUUCCAUCACAAUAGAAAUUUCAAUUUUAAAAAGAUAAAAAACAGUGUACAGUCACAUCUAAAACUUUUGCUAAUCAACUUUCAUAUUUUUAUUUUUCUUAAUGUUUAACAUUUUCGUAAUAAAUCUUUCUAUAUAUAAUAGCACUUUUCAUUCCAAAAUUUAAAAGUUUAAAAAAUAAUAAUUACAAAAAGAAAAAUUUAAACAACAAUAACUGCCCCCAUAAAAAACAAUUACAAUAAAAUUUAACACUACACAAAACUUAAAUAACGAAAGAUGAAAAUAGGACUUUUCAUAAAACAAUUUAAAAAAUUUAAAAUAAUAAUUACAAAAAAAAUAUAAACAACAAUAAUUGCCAAAAGAAAAAAAAUAAUUACAAUAAAAUUUAACGCUAUACACAAUAACAAAAUAUGAAAAUAGUACUUUUCAUUACAAAAUUUAAAAAGUAAAAAUAAUAAUUAAAAAAAAAAUAAACAACAAUAAAUGCCAAAAAAUAAAUAAUUACAAUAAAAUUUUAAACAAUAAUAACUACCGAGAAAAAUAAAAUAUCUAUAGCUAAUAGAAGAGGCAAAAAUAUCAUGCAUCAACACCACGUAAAAGUAGUAAUUCUUUUUUUUUUUUUAAAUAAAAAUUUCUUUUUUUAAACACUUAACUUCCCAUCACAAUAAAAAUUUCAAUUUUAAAAAGAUAAAAAAUAACGUACAGUCACAUCUAAAACUUUUGCUAAUCAACUUCCAUAUUUUUUUAUUUUUCUUAAUAUUUAACAUUUUUGUAAUAAAUCAAUUGAUAUCUAAUAGCACUUUUUAUUACAAAAUUUAAAAAUUAAAAAAUAAUAAUUACAAAAAAAUAAAUUAAACAACAAUAACUGCCAAAACAAAAAUAAAUAAUUACAAUAAAAUUUAACACUACACAACUUAUAUAACGAAAGAUGAAAAUAGGACUUUUCAUAACAAAAUUAAAAAUAAUAAUUACAAAAAAAAAAAAUUGAACAACAAUAACUGCCAAAAGAAAAAUAAAUAAUUACAGCAAAAUUUAACACUAUACACAACUUAAAUAACGAAAGAUGAAAAUAACACUUUUCAUUACAAAAUUUUUAAAAAGUAAAAUUAAUAAUUACAAAAGAAAAUUUAAACAAUAAUGAAUGCCAAAACCAAAACAAAUAAUUACAAUAAAAUUUUAAACAAUAAUAACUGUCGAAAAAAACAAAAAACAAGAUAUACACACGACAUCUAAUACUUGAUUGAUUAAAAUUACUUACUAAAAAUUUAAUAAGUAAAAAUUAAAAAUUAAAAAUAUACGGCUCUUUUUAAAAAUUAAAAUUAUUUAUCAUAACAGAGUGGAACGUGUAUAUCCUUUGAAUAUGGAUAGUUCGAGGAGUUAGUUUUAAAACUACCUACUACACUCCUACUUCUGCUAAAUUAUCUUUCGUUACGACUCAAAUACUUAUAUCUAUCUUUAUAUAAUAAUCUAUAUUUAUAUAAUAAAUGAGGCAAAAUUGCCACAUAUCAACAUCAAAAAUAUAUUUUUAAAAUAUUUUUUUAAAAAAAUAAUUCACAAAAUUUUAUUUUAUUUUUUUUUAAAAAAAGUUAAUUCACAAAAAUCUCAAAAAUAAGAUAAUAACGUAGAAAAACUACCGCAUAGUAAUUAAGGUUAUAAAAAACUGCACAUAGUAAUUAAGGUUAUGGAAAACUGCCACAUAGUCAAGUAAAAACACAUUUUUUACGUGAGAAAAAUUAAAUCAUGUUUUUUAACAUCUUUAAAAAAUAGUAGGCCAUUAAACUUAAAAAUAAAUUUAAUUUUAAAAUUAAAAUGGUUAUAUUUAAAUUUUGCAAUUAUGCUAUUAUCUUUUGAAUUUGAGUUAAGAUAAACAUGUGAUUCUUUAGAUAAAAAUAAAGAUUCAAAUGUGGCGUUAUUUUUUUUUUUUAAAAAAAAUUAGAAUAAGAAUAACUGCAUUGUAUUCUUUAUUUAAGCUUUUUUUUUUUUUUGGACAUUUCUAACUAAACUCCAACCUUUCAAAUCCUAAGCAAGUCCUAUGGCUUUCAUUCACUUCUUAUUUUGGUUGAAAUGGUCUUUUACUAGGAUAAACUUCUACAAUAAAAAUCAUUACUUAUCAAUUAUCAUAAGUAUGGGGCAUUGACAACAAUUGCUUAUUCUUUUUAUUGUGUAUUUUCUCUAAUUUAUUUAUCGUUUUGAUUUGAUAUGUUGGUGGCAAAAGUUUGCUUCUUUUCCCAUUAUUUUUCAGGAGAACCUUUUCAAUUUAAUAUUAGUAUUGAAACUUUAUUUGCUGAGAUUAGAAAUGUGUUUUUGCAAAAUGUGAUUUACUUUCAACAAGUUUAGGAUGAUAAUUUACUACAAAAGUUCGUUUUAUCAGGAAAGCUGAACUCAUUUUUAUGUUCAAUACUCAUGCUACAUCAUAUUAUGUUUAGAAUGGUAUAGUAAUUUAUUAUAAAAAAAAAAUUCGUAGUCAGAAUAAUCAUUAUCAACUUAUCGUCCAUCAUGUUAUAAUCACACAUCGAAGAUUAACAACAUAGAAUAAUUAGUCGUAUGUUUUUAUGAAAAAAAUUUCUCUAAAACACGCAACUACUACUAUUAAAAUGUAUAAUAACACUUAUUAUACACAAAUUUAAAUAUUUUAUUUAGAAAUUGUGUUCAUACACAAAUUUAUGGAUUAUCAAAAUUGUUCUUAUUUACUGUGCAAAAUUAAAGCACAAAUUAAUAGAAAUGAAAAAGCAAAUUGCAGACCUAAUGGAAGGGAAAAUUGAAGUGAAAAAAAAAAAAUAAGCAGGACAUUCAUUCUACUGAUUAAUUAAGCUUUUUUAAAAAAAGAAAAGAAAAAAUUUGAAAGCAUGUUAAAUAAUCAUUUUAACAACUUGUAAUUUACUCUUCACAUGUGGCUUAUAAAAGGAAAAUAAAUAACCUCAACAAAAAUAUAAACUUAAAUAUUGAAACAAAUAGAUUGAAUAUGAUAUUAUAAAUAAGAACUUAUUUAUAGUUAUGCAAAAGAUAUAAUUCAAAUGCAGACACAAACUUCUACUGGUUUUGUUGCCUCCAUAUCAUCAGACCUAUCAAACUGAACCGACAGCCAUCAGAUUGGGAGGAACAUGACAAUUUAUGUUUGGAAAUUCUUCAUACUAUAUUCUUUACGGUCCAUAUACAACCUACUAGAAAAGAGAAAUAUAUUCCUAUCUUAUUCCCGCUAAUGUAUUAUUUUAUUUAAUUCCUAUUCCAUAUAUGCGUAGAUUAGUUUCAUUUGAUCUCUCUCAUUGAUAAAUUGCAAUUUUACUUCUUGCUCUAUUUACUAAGAAAAUUUUAAUUUUGAAUCCCAUUCAAUAUUUAUUAAUGUAACAAUUCAAUAAUUUAUGUGUAACUAACUUGUUUAAUAGUUAAUAAUACAGUAAUGUUAUAACAAUUCAAAAGUUCAUACUGCAAUUGAUUGAAGAUUGAUCAAGUAUUAUAACUAAAUAUAACAAAAAUCAUCAUCUCACGAUAUUUCAGAAACUAAAGUCGAAUUCUGCUCCUUUUUUUCAGUAUGUGGUUUAACGUAAAUCAAGUUUAUUUGACCAGAGUCAUUAUCCAUACUUCAUAAAAGAAAAAAAAAAUCGAACCAUCACUCAAUCAUGAUAAAUAAUUAUAUUCACUCACUAAUAUAUGUAAAUAUAUAGUAUUAUUUACUUUAAAAAGAGCAAAUCUAUUCACUAAAAAUCUCAUAAAUAAAGAUCGAGAAGGUGGUAUAUAUAUAAUCUUACCGUUACUUUAUAAGUAUAGAGAGAUUAUAUAUCUUCGCUGAUUAUUAUUAUUUUAAUAAAUAACUAUAUCAUGUUAAAUUUUAAAAUAUCUAUUAAAUAGAAGAGGUGCUUUCCACCACCUCUUACGUAAUUACCAAAACACCCCUCUACUCUCAUUUAAUUACAUAUCAUAUCCCAAUAUAUAAUAAUUUCAUUGUUUUAAUGGUUUAAAUACUUAAUAUGUUCUAUUAAUUUAUAUUAAUUAACUAUAACUACAUAUUGAAAGUAAAAAAAAUAUUUAUUUAAUUGACUAUCAUGUUCAAAACUAAUUUGUUACCACAAAUUACAAUAAUUAAUAACUUAAAAUAUUUAAAAGACAUAGAGAAAUUUUAUUGACUCUCAUUAUUUUAGCAAUACCACAUAAAUUGAGAUAAAAGAAAAAGUACUGCAAAUCAUAAUAAUUAACAACUUAAAGUAUUUAAAAGAUGUAUAAAAAUUUUAGUUGACUCUCAAAAUUGUAUCGAAGCCACAUAAAUUGGGACACAAGGAGUAAAUAUANNNNNNNNNNNNNNNNNNNNNNNNNNNNNNNNNNNNNNNNNNNNNNNNNNNNNNNNNNNNNNNNNNNNNNNNNNNNNNNNNNNNNNNNNNNNNNNNNNNNNNNNNNNNNNNNNNNNNNNNNNNNNNNNNNNNNNNNNNNNNNNNNNNNNNNNNNNNNNNNNNNNNNNNNNNUACAAAAUUAAUAAAUUUAAUUUAAUAAAAUAAAUUUCUAAUGAAUAUUUUCUUAGAAUUUGUGUUGGGUCAAUAUGUAUCAAGUUAAAAAGAAAUAAAGAAAAAUAUAUAGUAAAAUUUUAUUAUUGUGAAAGAUAAAUAUAAUGCACUAUCUAAUAAUGUUUAAUAAUAUCAUACUUUGCAUAUGCAAAUACAGCAUCCCGUAUUUAAUUAAUAUACUAUUCCGAUGAAUUAUCGAUCAUUACUAUUGGGUAUGAUAAAAUUAUAUUAAUUUUUAUAGUAAUAACAUAAUCAAUCGCUCUUAAUUAAUUAUUACGAGUCAUCUAGGUAUUAAGAAAAUAAAUAAUAUUUAAUGAAAAAUAAAAUGUGAAAUUAACUAUUAAUUUUUUAAAUUAAAUUUUCGUCUUUCGAACGAUGAUUUAACUAAAUCACUCCUUAUUAUAAGUCAUUUAUGUAUUAGAAAAAAAAGAAUAACAAUAUGAUAUGUCAACAUCAAAUAUUUGAUUGACUAUCAAAAUUAUAUUAGUUCCACAUAAAUUAGGACGGGACAGAAAACGAUAUAAAAUAACAUAUAUUAUUUGAAAAUGAAAUAAAAAGUAGUGUAAAUAACAAUAAUUAACAAAAAAAAAAUAUUAAAAAUUUGACUGAUUUCUGCUUUAGCUGCUUCAAUCGUGAUUUUAAUGUACAAUGAUGUUUAAAGAGGGGAAAAUGACAUAAUGAGAUUUAAAAAAGAUAAAAUGUAUGUAGUAAAGUGUGAAAAGAAUAAAGCAUAAGUAAAUUUUAUUACUAUAUUUUAAAGAAAUUAAAGAAAAGAAGUAUAAAUAUUAUUUGCAAAAGUUUUUAUAAACUAAUUUAAAUAUAAAUAAAGUAAAUUUAGGUACAAAAACGUGUAUCUAUCACAAAUUUGCUAUCAAAUAUUUCACAUUUUUUUAACAUUAGCAAAUUUUCUAUCAAAUAUGUGUAGCUAUCUUUCUCAACUUUUUACAGCUCCUCAAUAUUAAUUAAUAUUUCUCUGUUUUAAAAAUAAAAUAAAGAAAAAAAAAUCUCAACGCUUCCUUCUCUAUUAAAAAAUAACACUCUUUUCUUAUGUUAAAAAUAAUAAUUAAACAAAACAAUAGCGAAUCUAAGCUGUGUAUUCUCUUUAUCGGGUAAGUUUACAUGAUUCUUAAUCUUUGCGAUGUUGAAAAUCAAUAACUAUUUCAUCAGAUUUACGUCUAUUCUUUCUUUAUAUUUCUGAUUGCAAAAUUCAACAAAAAGAUUAAAAAAAAAUUUCAAUUGUGAUUCCCUCAGCUCAAUCAUACUAAUGAAAAAUAUUCAACUGCUCAAACUUUCUACUCUAAGAUAAAUUUUAAAAUUUAAAAAUUACAAUCCACAUAUUCUACUGUUGGACUCGUGCUGACACAGGCCUUGCACUUCUAAUUUAGUAAUAAAUAUAAAUCCCACAAGAGAUCAAAAAAAAAAAAAUAAAAAAAAAAAUGAAGUUGCUUGGAAACUGGUGGAAGAGUCCAAAUGAAACAAGUCUCCAUACAGCUGUAUCUACCGAUUCUUGCGUUGUCACCAUUCUUUAUUACUUACCACACGAAAUAUCCCAUGGUCUAAAAACAAUAAUAAAAGGAGAGUCACAAAUUAUAGAAAAUACACGUGUCAAAUUUUGGUUAUACACGUUUCCUUAGCCUUACAAUAAUUCUCGCCCCUAUAUAAAUAGGCUCAAUACCUCUGCAUGUAGUUAUGUGCUUCGCUAUCGAUAUAUUAACAUAUCAAUAAUAAUUCUCUCUUCCCAGAUAAUCUUUUGUUCUAAAUCAAUUUUAUUUUGGAUCUACCCUUUUUCAAUUUGCAUCGUCGAUUUACUUAACCAGUAAGUUUUUUUUUUCUUUCUUUAUGAUAUGAUAAUUGAAUUUUGUGCGUAUUUGAUAUGAUUUGAUUUUUUAAUUUUGUGUUUUAUAGGGUUGUGUUAAAGAAGCUUUUAUAAUUCAAUCAAAGGAGGUCUCUCUGCAUCGGCUUAUAUCACUAAUUUUUGUAAGUAAAGUAAAGAUUCUGUUGCUUUAUGUUAUUUUCGUGUAUCGUUUUGCUCUGUUGUUGCUGAAUUUGAUAAUGCUUGGUGUUUUUUUGAUUGAAAUUUUAAUUUUCUCCUUUUUUUUGCCCUUAUUUUGGUGGAAUAGUCCCUUGUUUUACAAUAAUUUUCUUGUAAUUGCGUAUAGAAUUGAUUUCUUGUUACUAACUUAGGUUUUCUUAUUUUUUCGAUGUGCUAUUUUGGUGUUUUCUUUUGAUGUUAUUAAAGCCCUUUUCUUUCGUUUUUUAAAAGCAAAAUAGUUAUGAAUGUUUAGAUUUGUCUUUGCAAAAUUAGUGGUUGGUUCGUCUUUUGAUGGAAAGUUAUCAAAUCUUUUGUGGGUGGGUGGAACAUACAUAAACUGCUUUAUUUGCUUUACAUAGUUGAUUUUUGAUACUCCUCUCCAUUUCGCUAAGAACGACCUAAUUUUAUUGAUUUGGCACGGAGAUUAAGAAAUUAAAGAAAUUUUUGAACGUUAAGAACGACCUAAUUUUAUUGAUUUGGCACGGAGAUUAAGAAAUUAAAGAAAUUUUUGAACGUUAAGAACGACCUAAUUUUAUUGAUUUGGCACGGAGAUUAAGAAAUUAAAGAAAUUUUUGAACUUGUCGUCCUAAAUUAAAAUUAUGUCAAAUUUUCAUUAAAGUAUUCCUAAAAAGGAAAGGGGUCCAUUUCUUAUGGAAAUGGAUUAAAAAGGAAAGUAGAUCAUUCUUUUUUUAAAACGGAGCGAGUAUGUUUUAUUUGAACCGAGUCUUUUGUAGCCACCCCUAAAGGCACAACUUGUUUGAUAAUACUGGGCAUAUUGUUGAAAUUAUCGAACCUUUAGUAGAUGCUACUGUUUAAAUUUUUUUCUUUUUGGAAAAAAUAAAGACAUAUUUUUGUUAGUUAUAGAUAUAGAUUUAUUAUACAGUAUUUCUUUUCUUUAUGUUUUUUCUUAUGGGUAUUGUUGUUAUGAUUUACCAUCUGAAAUGCUAUUACCAUCUUUGGAUGGGAUUAUUGUAAUAAGCUUCAAAGAGGCUAUCCUUCUACCAUGGGUUGAUAGAAUUAGACCAGAUGUUAGGCAGCUGUUGUCUUCUUAGUAUAGAAAUAGCCAACUUACACACCAUAACAACAAUUAGUUGUUUGUAAGCCACAUAAAUCAGUUUCCUCUGUUUGAGGAGGAGUUAUUUGUAUUCAAUCGUAGUUCUUGAUCUAUUUUCUUGUUGUCUCCAUAAAUCUAUCAAAGGCCAAACUUUUCUUUUUUUUUUUCUAAUCUAUCAAAGGCCAAACUUUUCAUAUUUUAUUUCUGACCAUCUUCUUUCUUUUAAUGCCCUAAGCAGGUAGGAAUCGAUGAACUAAUGGAGUCUAAAGGUGGGAAGAAGAAGUCUAGUAGUAGUUCCUUAUGUUACGAAGCUCCCCUAGGUUACACUAUUGAAGACGUUCGACCAAACGGAGGAAUCAAGAAAUUCAGAUCAGCUGCUUACUCCAACGUGAGUUCAUUUAUCCUUUACCUUAUGUAUCUUAUUAGUUUGCAUCUUCGUGCAUACAUGCUGACUGCUUGCGUUUCUCUAUCUUUUUCAUAUGCAGUGCACUCGCAAGCCAUCCUGAGAUUUCCCGUGAUCUAGAAUAAACCACCAGAGGUGGUUCUAAGUAGUUUUAGAAUUCUGUUUUUCUCAGCUUUUUUUCUUCAUCCCUCAUCCUCGUUACACGCUCCAAAAUUUAGUCCUUUCCGAACACACACUUUCAAGCAAGAUGGAUUUGCCGGUAUCUGCAAUUGGAUUUGAAGGUUAUGAAAAGCGACUUGAGAUUUUCUUUUUCGAGUUAGGAAACUCUUAUGGCCCUGGAUGUGGCCUACGGUCGCUCUCCAAAGAUCAGUUGGAUGAAAUUCUGACACCUGCUGCAUGCACCAUAGUGUCUUCAUUGGCUAAUGAUGAAGUUGACUCUUAUGUCCUUUCAGAGUCUAGCCUCUUUGUCUACUCUUACAAGAUCAUAAUCAAAACUUGUGGCACCACAAAACUGCUGCUCUCGAUCCCGCCCAUUCUUAAGUCGGCUGACUCACUUGACCUGAAAGUGAAGUCUGUGAGGUACACUCGUGGUAGUUUCAUCUUUCCUGGGGCUCAACCAUACCCACAUCGUCACUUCUCCGAAGAAGUGGCCGUGCUUGACAGCUAUUUUGGUAAGCUUGGUGCAGGCAGCAGUGCAUAUGUGAUGGGUAGUGCUGAUAAACAACAGAACUGGCAUGUCUAUUCUGCUUCAGCUGAAUCUGCCGAUGCCAAUAAUGUGAAUCCAGUUUAUACACUGGAGAUGUGCAUGACUAACUUGGACAAGAAAAAGGCAUCCGUAUUUUUCAAGACUCAAUCUAGCACUGCUGCUGAGAUGACUGAACUUUCAGGCAUUCGGAAGAUUCUUCCAGAAUCAAACAUAUGCGAUUUUGAUUUUGAACCUUGUGGUUACUCAAUGAAUGCUGUUGAAGGCUCGGCAAUCUCCACGAUUCACAUAACACCCGAGGAUGGAUUCAGCUAUGCAAGUUUUGAAGCAGUGGGUUAUGAUUUCAGAGAGGUCAACUUAACUGCAAUGAUUGAGAGGGUGUUGUCCUGCUUCGGACCUGCUGAGUUUUCCGUGGCAUUACACUCUGACACUCCUGGGAAGGAACUUUAUACUGACUCGAGCCUGAACAUCAUCGGAUAUGUCUCUGGCGAAAAGACUACUGAAGUGCUUGGUGAGGGAGGAUCACUUACGUACCUCACAUUCAGCAGUGGUGGUAGCUGCGGCGGAUCCCCCAGAUCAAUCCUUAAUAACAGCUGUUGGAGUGAGAACGAGGAUGAGGAAAUGGAGAAGAUAUAUUAAUGAGAAAUAUGUCUAUUCUCUUUUUUAGUACGCAAUACUAUAGCUCUGGUAUAGAUAUCCAAGCAUGCAAAUAAUGUUUCUUUGUGGGUUCAUUACGUCUAGUACUAGUAUCAGUUUCUCGUAUUUUAAUUUAGUUCUGUGAUAUGUGUGGGAAUGAAAUAACUGUCUGCUGAGUCUAUGAAGCUUCUUAGCUUUAUAGCGUUUGUGGUAUUAUUAUUGAGUUGUCUGGUGUUGUGUAAUAAAACCUUUUGGGAGACUAUUAUAUGAAAUAUUGUUAUUGUCAAUAUAUUUGCACUCAUAUGUUCUGAUGUGUUUACUCUUUGAACAUUCACUUUCUUGAAAAAUCUUCAUUAGAAGGUACGCUCUUGAUACCAGUGUAACUAGUAAAACUCGUCGAUUGUAUUACUACUACUACUACCAUCUUAUUCUUUGGUUAUAUUGCUACAUGUUUUUCCGUUACUUCGAUUAUUGUAUUAGUUAUUGUUUAACUAUUUUCUUUUUCUUUUGGCAUAUCUUUUUCACUCCUAAUUAUUUUUUCUUGAAUUUGAUAUGCACCAUUUGUAUCAGUUGAGUAAUAACCACUUGGAAGGUUUUUUAUAUGACAAGCUUUUCUACUUAAAUUUUAUACUAGUCUAGUUUCUGGUCAUUGUUGUUUGUUCUAAUCGAUUACUAAUAACCAAUGAAGGUCUUCUAUUCGAUAAACUCUUCCUACUUAAAAUUUAUUCUAGUCUAGUAUAAUGAUGAGGCAUACCACGAUAUAGUAGUUGCAGUCUCUUUUCAAAAUUAUUGGUGUACCUCUGCAUUAAUAGUUGCAUAUGCCCUAGGGAGAAAAAAUGAGUUGAAAGAUCCUUCCAAAGGAGAAGUAGGUCUCACAAUAUUAUUAAGUUAAAAAAAAGAUGAAGUCGUUUAAACAACUGUGACAGUUGUUCGACAACUGAACUUUGAUCAAAUUGUUGAUAGAACUUCUAUAGUUGUUGGGACCAACCUUUUUAGUUGUUGGAGCGAAAAUGUUUAAAAAAAAAUGGAAAUUUUUUAUUAAAACUUGAAGGACCUCACUUAAUUGAGAAACUUAUUUGUCCCUCCGCAUUAUGAGCAAACGCUAAUUUGCUAUGUCUGAAAAAUUCUUGGAUUUUUUUUUUCCAGUUAAUUCAGCAAGAGGAUUUACACUUUAAAAUAAAUUAAGAAAUUCAAAGAAAAAGAUGUGCUAAUCUUCACUUGUCUAUUCUUCAUCUUCAUAUCCAAAAACUGAACUACCUCACCUCACACUGACCCAUCAUAGAGGAACUCAAUGUCCAACCAUAUUAUUGAAAAUUAUACUAGAACCUGAUGGGCUUUUAAGAUCAAAUCCACUAGGAAGUAGUGUCAUAAAGAUAAAUAGACCACAGAAUGAUAUAACCACGAGCUGAGUUGUAUGCAAAAUUCCAAUUUUUAGAAACAUGAAGCAUAAGCUUCAGUAGACAAAAUAAAUUAGUAUGUACUCACUCAACUACAACCAAAAUUGGAAACUACAUACAAGAACAAUGUUCAUUAUACUCGUCUCCCGCGUACUAUAAUAUGCCCUGUGCUGUGAGCUAAGCUGAUUCUCUUUAAGGAAGCAGAACUUGAGCUGAACAAAUCUAGACACCGGUUCUCUGAAAAUUUUGUGUAGCUACAACUCUGUUAUGGAGAUUUCUUUGUUUAGUAAGGUCGAAAUUUCCUUGCCGCCCUCAACUGCUGUAUCCGCUUCUUAUCCUGCUCAAAUUUGCUCUGCAACACCAUGAUCUCUGUGCACAAAUAAAAAAAAACAACAAUGAUAAGUUACGACCAGAAGACCGAGCAAUAACCAUAUUGAAAUGAGGAAUUCAUUGGCACUCACACCAAUGAGAAGUCAAGUAGAGUAACAUAGCAGCAUCAAGUCAUGGCGAGUAGGUGACUGAAUGGGUCGAGAAAAUUUAACUUAACUAGUCCAACGUAACAUAGUCAGAUCGGGUUUACAUUGAACUCAAAUUCUUUACAUGCCGUUAUGUUCAUAAAAGCAAAGUUGAAAAGGGAAUCUCUACUGACCCUUUGAUGGGACUAAGGAAACAAACUACAAGUAGAAUAACAGAAGAGGAAACAUUGGAUUUAAAACCAGCAAACACAGGUAACUUAAGUAGUCUAACUUUUAUACGAAUGAAAGAUGAGCUACAGUUCCACGAUAAAGGAAGAAGGACUAGAAGUUACGAGACGGAGGAGAAGUUCACAACCAUGACCAGACACUGCAUAUACACGUAACAAAGAGAGUGCUUGGACAACUCCACCUUGAAAAGAGAAGAUUUCGAGAACAAAGAUGUGUGGAGGUAACUCUUCUUCUCCCUCCUUGAAAUUAUUUUUCCAUAAAAAGGGGUGAAUUCUUACAAACUUAAACAAUUGAAGCUUCCUUUUUGAAGUUGUUUUCAAGAGAUCAAAUUUACAGUUGUUUCAACUUUCAAGGAUUAUCUGAGGCUCAUUUUGGUUAUCUACCAUGAAUGAUAGAAAAACUUGCUAAACUAAUUGUAUAACAAGCUACCAAAACACGGCUGCCUUUUCAAGCAUCCUAAUAUUGACUAAAUUAGCUAAUGACAAUUCCGUUCAAGCUUAGAAACCCCUUCAUCAGAUGUAAAUACCUUUUCAUUAUUUGAUUGAUCAGAUAAAUUUAAACUUUUGAGAUUUUGAAUUUACCUUUUAGAAAAUUUUGAACCGAGGAAAACAAAGUCCGUGGAUACAUAUGGAGGCAGAAAGUAUUGAAAAAGGCAAAGAUACAAUAAACUGACCAUUUCUCUUUGCUUCUCUUUUCUGAAACCGGUAGAAAUCUAACCCCACAUCUUUAUUCUUCUUUUUGGCCAUAUUGUCCAUAACUGCAGCCUGAGAAACAGAACCGACUGCAAUUCCAGUUUCAGAAUCUGUAGUCUUUUUCCUGCCUUUGUGAUGUACAACAACAGUCCAUCCAUCUUCUGCAGCAAGAGCUUCCUUUUCUUUCUUUUCCUGUAGGUACCAAAAUAGAAUAAUAUGAAACGGUAAUAACUGUACAUUCUUAACAUGUAUACGGUAUGCAACCACUACGAUGCAAGAACAUGACACAUCACUCUUUUCUUAUGUUAAAAAUAAUAAUUAAACAAAACAAUAGCGAAUCUAAGCUGUGUAUUCUCUUUAUCGGGUAAGUUUACAUGAUUCUUAAUCUUUGCGAUGUUGAAAAUCAAUAACUAUUUCAUCAGAUUUACGUCUAUUCUUUCUUUAUAUUUCUGAUUGCAAAAUUCAACAAAAAGAUUAAAAAAAAAUUUCAAUUGUGAUUCCCUCAGCUCAAUCAUACUAAUGAAAAAUAUUCAACUGCUCAAACUUUCUACUCUAAGAUAAAUUUUAAAAUUUAAAAAUUACAAUCCACAUAUUCUACUGUUGGACUCGUGCUGACACAGGCCUUGCACUUCUAAUUUAGUAAUAAAUAUAAAUCCCACAAGAGAUCAAAAAAAAAAAAAUAAAAAAAAAAAUGAAGUUGCUUGGAAACUGGUGGAAGAGUCCAAAUGAAACAAGUCUCCAUACAGCUGUAUCUACCGAUUCUUGCGUUGUCACCAUUCUUUAUUACUUACCACACGAAAUAUCCCAUGGUCUAAAAACAAUAAUAAAAGGAGAGUCACAAAUUAUAGAAAAUACACGUGUCAAAUUUUGGUUAUACACGUUUCCUUAGCCUUACAAUAAUUCUCGCCCCUAUAUAAAUAGGCUCAAUACCUCUGCAUGUAGUUAUGUGCUUCGCUAUCGAUAUAUUAACAUAUCAAUAAUAAUUCUCUCUUCCCAGAUAAUCUUUUGUUCUAAAUCAAUUUUAUUUUGGAUCUACCCUUUUUCAAUUUGCAUCGUCGAUUUACUUAACCAGUAAGUUUUUUUUUUCUUUCUUUAUGAUAUGAUAAUUGAAUUUUGUGCGUAUUUGAUAUGAUUUGAUUUUUUAAUUUUGUGUUUUAUAGGGUUGUGUUAAAGAAGCUUUUAUAAUUCAAUCAAAGGAGGUCUCUCUGCAUCGGCUUAUAUCACUAAUUUUUGUAAGUAAAGUAAAGAUUCUGUUGCUUUAUGUUAUUUUCGUGUAUCGUUUUGCUCUGUUGUUGCUGAAUUUGAUAAUGCUUGGUGUUUUUUUGAUUGAAAUUUUAAUUUUCUCCUUUUUUUUGCCCUUAUUUUGGUGGAAUAGUCCCUUGUUUUACAAUAAUUUUCUUGUAAUUGCGUAUAGAAUUGAUUUCUUGUUACUAACUUAGGUUUUCUUAUUUUUUCGAUGUGCUAUUUUGGUGUUUUCUUUUGAUGUUAUUAAAGCCCUUUUCUUUCGUUUUUUAAAAGCAAAAUAGUUAUGAAUGUUUAGAUUUGUCUUUGCAAAAUUAGUGGUUGGUUCGUCUUUUGAUGGAAAGUUAUCAAAUCUUUUGUGGGUGGGUGGAACAUACAUAAACUGCUUUAUUUGCUUUACAUAGUUGAUUUUUGAUACUCCUCUCCAUUUCGCUAAGAACGACCUAAUUUUAUUGAUUUGGCACGGAGAUUAAGAAAUUAAAGAAAUUUUUGAACGUUAAGAACGACCUAAUUUUAUUGAUUUGGCACGGAGAUUAAGAAAUUAAAGAAAUUUUUGAACUUGUCGUCCUAAAUUAAAAUUAUGUCAAAUUUUCAUUAAAGUAUUCCUAAAAAGGAAAGGGGUCCAUUUCUUAUGGAAAUGGAUUAAAAAGGAAAGUAGAUCAUUCUUUUUUUAAAACGGAGCGAGUAUGUUUUAUUUGAACCGAGUCUUUUGUAGCCACCCCUAAAGGCACAACUUGUUUGAUAAUACUGGGCAUAUUGUUGAAAUUAUCGAACCUUUAGUAGAUGCUACUGUUUAAAUUUUUUUCUUUUUGGAAAAAAUAAAGACAUAUUUUUGUUAGUUAUAGAUAUAGAUUUAUUAUACAGUAUUUCUUUUCUUUAUGUUUUUUCUUAUGGGUAUUGUUGUUAUGAUUUACCAUCUGAAAUGCUAUUACCAUCUUUGGAUGGGAUUAUUGUAAUAAGCUUCAAAGAGGCUAUCCUUCUACCAUGGGUUGAUAGAAUUAGACCAGAUGUUAGGCAGCUGUUGUCUUCUUAGUAUAGAAAUAGCCAACUUACACACCAUAACAACAAUUAGUUGUUUGUAAGCCACAUAAAUCAGUUUCCUCUGUUUGAGGAGGAGUUAUUUGUAUUCAAUCGUAGUUCUUGAUCUAUUUUCUUGUUGUCUCCAUAAAUCUAUCAAAGGCCAAACUUUUCUUUUUUUUUUUCUAAUCUAUCAAAGGCCAAACUUUUCAUAUUUUAUUUCUGACCAUCUUCUUUCUUUUAAUGCCCUAAGCAGGUAGGAAUCGAUGAACUAAUGGAGUCUAAAGGUGGGAAGAAGAAGUCUAGUAGUAGUUCCUUAUGUUACGAAGCUCCCCUAGGUUACACUAUUGAAGACGUUCGACCAAACGGAGGAAUCAAGAAAUUCAGAUCAGCUGCUUACUCCAACGUGAGUUCAUUUAUCCUUUACCUUAUGUAUCUUAUUAGUUUGCAUCUUCGUGCAUACAUGCUGACUGCUUGCGUUUCUCUAUCUUUUUCAUAUGCAGUGCACUCGCAAGCCAUCCUGAGAUUUCCCGUGAUCUAGAAUAAACCACCAGAGGUGGUUCUAAGUAGUUUUAGAAUUCUGUUUUUCUCAGCUUUUUUUCUUCAUCCCUCAUCCUCGUUACACGCUCCAAAAUUUAGUCCUUUCCGAACACACACUUUCAAGCAAGAUGGAUUUGCCGGUAUCUGCAAUUGGAUUUGAAGGUUAUGAAAAGCGACUUGAGAUUUUCUUUUUCGAGUUAGGAAACUCUUAUGGCCCUGGAUGUGGCCUACGGUCGCUCUCCAAAGAUCAGUUGGAUGAAAUUCUGACACCUGCUGCAUGCACCAUAGUGUCUUCAUUGGCUAAUGAUGAAGUUGACUCUUAUGUCCUUUCAGAGUCUAGCCUCUUUGUCUACUCUUACAAGAUCAUAAUCAAAACUUGUGGCACCACAAAACUGCUGCUCUCGAUCCCGCCCAUUCUUAAGUCGGCUGACUCACUUGACCUGAAAGUGAAGUCUGUGAGGUACACUCGUGGUAGUUUCAUCUUUCCUGGGGCUCAACCAUACCCACAUCGUCACUUCUCCGAAGAAGUGGCCGUGCUUGACAGCUAUUUUGGUAAGCUUGGUGCAGGCAGCAGUGCAUAUGUGAUGGGUAGUGCUGAUAAACAACAGAACUGGCAUGUCUAUUCUGCUUCAGCUGAAUCUGCCGAUGCCAAUAAUGUGAAUCCAGUUUAUACACUGGAGAUGUGCAUGACUAACUUGGACAAGAAAAAGGCAUCCGUAUUUUUCAAGACUCAAUCUAGCACUGCUGCUGAGAUGACUGAACUUUCAGGCAUUCGGAAGAUUCUUCCAGAAUCAAACAUAUGCGAUUUUGAUUUUGAACCUUGUGGUUACUCAAUGAAUGCUGUUGAAGGCUCGGCAAUCUCCACGAUUCACAUAACACCCGAGGAUGGAUUCAGCUAUGCAAGUUUUGAAGCAGUGGGUUAUGAUUUCAGAGAGGUCAACUUAACUGCAAUGAUUGAGAGGGUGUUGUCCUGCUUCGGACCUGCUGAGUUUUCCGUGGCAUUACACUCUGACACUCCUGGGAAGGAACUUUAUACUGACUCGAGCCUGAACAUCAUCGGAUAUGUCUCUGGCGAAAAGACUACUGAAGUGCUUGGUGAGGGAGGAUCACUUACGUAC
rnacentral:lncRNA from 1 species